rnacentral:lncRNA from 1 species
AUACGAAAGGAUACAACAACGAAACUAUGAAGUUGAAAUCAAUACGAAGUGAGGAAUACCUGAGAAGGAAGAGCAGGGCCACCGCCAUUGAUUGUAUUGAAAAGUGGAUUGAAAUGGAAGGUUGCCGCCGGGAGAUGCGAACGGCGGCNCAAUUGGAGACACUAAAAAGAAGUCACGAUUGGCUGCUUUGCGAGGCUACCGGAAAAAUCAAGAUUCGUUCCAAUUAUUAACAAACCAAAUUUGAAAAUUAAAAUAAGGUUACAUAAAUCGCCUCGUAGGUUUUAGGUACAAAUCUAUCGUGUGCCAUUUUUCAAUGUCGAUUGUCGACUAUCUAUAUAUACGUACGAUAUAUUCCUAUAUAUAAUUCAAAACAAUGUACACCAAGACAUUUUCUUCUUGAAUAGACAUAUGACAUAAACGGCCCUCAAUGUUUGAUUUUAAAUAUAUAAAUCACCCUAAGGGUCGUUUGAUAGUUGCUGAUUGGGUUAGAGCUGACUGAGUUAGAAAUGCUGACUGAGUCCACAUCUGACUGAAUUUAUGCUGUUUGAUUAUUUAUCUGACUGAUUGUGCUGAAUGAGUAAAAUGACCAUAUUAUCCUUAUGUUGUUCUUUUGUGCUGGAUAAAAUAAUUAUACAAAUAAAAAUUAUCACAUAAAAUCCAAAUUAAACAUACAUAAUUAAAAAUCCAAAUACAAAGUGUAAUACAAAACCCAAAUACACAUUGUCAUACAUAAUAAAAAAAUAUAUCAUUUAACGUGAACCAUUUGAAAUUAACUGAUUAGCAAUCUGGUCACGCAAAGUAGUCAUAUACUCAACGGUUUCCGAACCCCAUUCCAUGUCUUGUAUGUUUUGGCCCUCACUUCCUCCACCUCCCACAUUAGGAGUAAAAAUAGUGUUUUGUUCAAAGUUCGUAAAUAGGUCAUCUUGAAUAUCGUAUUUCUUUAUAAAAUUAUGGACCGCGACACAGGCAAUGACUAUGUCUCUUUGCACUGGAAAAGGAUAAGGAGCCAUACGUUUUAAAAUUGGAAAUCUCGUUUUCAAUACACCAUAAGCACGUUCAAUGUAAUUUCUAAGUUGUGCAUGAGCAUGAUUGAACCUUUCUUCCUUAGUUAAAGCUCUGUUUCUUCGAAAAUCAGCUAACCAAUACCUAGUAUUGCGGUAAGGAGCCAUAAAUCCACGGGUGUUGGUGUAUGCGGCAUCACAAAGGUAAUAUUUAUCUGUAAAUGGGUGACAAAUUAAUCAUAUUAAUAAUAUAGAUAAUAAAACUUAUAGAAAAAUGACAAACCUGGUGGAGGGAAUGGAAAUCCAGAAGUCGGAUUAAAUGCAACUUCUUUCAAAACUUUAGAAUCGUGUGCUAUGCCCUCCCAUCCCGCCCAUACAAAGGUGAAUAUCAUAUCAAAAUCACAAAUUCCUAUUACAUUUUGAUAACAUUCACCUUUUCCUCUUCCCCUAUAGCGAGUUUGUUCAUCAACGGGCACAACUGCAUGUACAAGUGUUCCGUCUAGUGCACCUAAUGCUCCAGGAAAUAUGUUUUUUAGCCGUCUAUAAGUUUCCGAGGUAUUUCUUGUUGUAUUAGAAGAUGUUGGUACAAUAAUUUCUCUUGCAAAGCACAUCAUUGCUUUUAGCACUUCAUGAAAACAUUGAUGAAUCGUUUGUAUGGAGUGGUGAAAUCUUUCUUUAACAGCUCGAAAACGUUCAUUAUGUCCUAUAACAUGUAAAAAUAUAGCCAUCUUCUCUUCAACGCUUAUUGUCCUACUAUGUUGCAACCAAUUUCUUUGAGUAAAAUGAUUGCAUAAUAAUACAAAUGCAUCUUGUGAAAGACGUAUCAUAUCAAAACAUUGUAUAGGAUCUCCGUGUAUCAAAUCUUGUGUAUAUGCAUGCCCAGUUUCUUCCGAUUCGUUAGCUUUUAUUCUUUCAAUUCUUUUUUUUUUCUUUUUUGAACCAACAUCAACCAAUAGCAUGAGGGUAUAAGGAAACCUAAAAACUCACCUUCGUUAUCCAUAUGUAACCUGUUACAUGUUAAUACAAAUCACAUAAAUUUUAUAACAUAAACCAUAAAAUUAAUCAAUAACAUUAAAGUGGAUGACAUAUAACUUCAUAAAAUAAAAUUCCAUAACAAAAAAGUCAAUACCAAUUAACAAUCCUAAACAUAACACAUAAACAGCCUAAACUUAAAAAUCCUAAACAUAACACAGAACAACCCUACACCUACACGUAAAAAUCCAUAACAUGUACCAUAAUAUAAAUCCAUAAAGGAUAAAGACAAAAACAUCCUAAAGUCAUACUAAAGUCAACCAAGUAAUCCAAAAUUCUUUCCCGCACUUUUCACCCACAACUCACAAGUCGAAGACUCGAGGCGUAACCAAAUUUUCCUGUUACCAGCAUUUUCAGCGAACAACAUAAGAGCAGUGAUGUAUUUCGGAUCAGAAUUUCCCCACUCCAAGCCUUUCAAUUUUUCAAUACAUUCAUCCAUCUCCUUGUCAAGAUUAUUAGUUUGCGCGAACGCCUGAGCCGCCUUCAUAAUUUCCUUGCCAACCUCUCUUAUGUCAUCAUCCAGUGUGUCUGUGGGUGCAUUUCGUUUUCCUCUUUUAUUUUUAGACCGAGCAGACGAAUCUCCACUUGCAUGUGACGCACUUGUAGGUGGGGGUACUGAUGAAGCUGAGGCUGGGAUAUCCAUUUGAGGUGGAGUAUCUACCAUGUCAAUAUCAUCAUAAUCUUGUGUAGUAAAGACUUCUGUAGGAUGAGGGAGUGUCGAAGAUGGUCCCCAACUAGCAGCACCGGUCGAGGUCGCACCGUCAAACAACUGGGCACAUAGAUUAGGGUAAAGGAGGGGUGCAUUUCUUAAUUUCUCAACCAUCUUGUUCGACUAUUUGAAAAAAUGAUUUUAUUAUUAAACUUUAUUAAAAAAUAAUAAUGUGUUUUAAAUUAAAAGAUUACCUUCGCCUCCGCUUUCCACUCUUCAUCCGUCAUUUGAAACGUGUUUGUAACAGGAUUAUAGAGAUUCCCAGUUUUGUUUCUUAAUUUCAACCAAACUGCAUACUUGCUUUUCAAGUAGUCAUAACGAUAUUUCAUUUGUUUUUUCUCAACAACAAAGUCGUGUUCUUUUUUUAGUUUCUCAGCUAUUGUAUUACAUGAGGUACCUUUGAGACCACUACCCUCCCUACCAUUACUUGUUAGUUCUUGGAUACAUGCAUCUAGAAAAGUUUUGUUCACAAAAUCUGAAGACCAACUAGCUCUAUUUCUCUUUUCUGCCAUGUCUAAGGAAUAAAUGAAUCAUAAAUAGGUUACACACAAUUUUGCACACAUAUAUACAAAUAUAUAUACGUAUACACGUUUAGUUUUUUAGUAUAAAAAUUUAAGAAGUAAAUUAAUGUCUUGUUAAUUUUUAUAAUGGAGAAAAAUUUCAAAGAAUACGAAAAUAUAAUAAAUGUGAAAAAAAUUUAUAAUUAUCAAAUUUAUAAUUUUGCUAAACUUUACAAUAUUGUUAUUACUAAAACAAAAAACAAACAUGAUUAUAUGUUUCAAUGUACAAAUUCAACCAUCACACUCAUAUACAUUAAUCACUAAAGAUUGCUUACAAUAUUCAUUCUUAACUUUUUACUCUAUAAAGACAAUAAUUUGCUUAUACUAACAUUAAUAACAUAAUUUUUGGCAUAGAGUAAGGUACAACAAGAAAAAGAAACCUGCUUGUUCAAUCAAUUAAAGAUGAAUUGUCAGGUUUAAAAUGGAACCCAUAACUCUUAGAUACAAGGUUUUCACUACCAAAUGAUAUAAUUAAAAAAGAUGAAAGUCACACAUCUUCAAGAUUUCAUGAAAACUUGACAUUCACAUAGGUUGACUGUGAGUUUCGUUGACAGCUUUAAGAAGAUAGAAUACCACAAAAAUAUAUGGACAGUUCUUGACUAUUUUGCCCCUGAUUAUGGGGUAUUGACAGAAAUAACAUGCAGAUUUUUUUUUCAAGUUCUGGACAGUUUUGUCCCUCACUAUGAAUACAGAAAAGCAACGUUAAAAGAUUAAAAACAAACCUGUUAUCUGUUGUAUUUGAUCACAGACUGUUGCUCUGGAUGACGAUUGUUGCAAGGCUUUUGAUCGAUAAGGGAAACAAGAGGCUGCGUCGAUUAGAGGUUAACGGGGGCAGCAACGAUUUUUUUUGGAUCGAUAGGGCAGCAGCGAUGAAUUGUCAAUUAGCAGCAACAACGUUUUUUCCCUUAUGUGUUUCUCGGUCCAUCAAGUUGAAAUCAAGGACCGAGUCCUAUGUUUUUAUUGGACCGAGGCCACAUGUUGGUCCGAGUCCUAUCCCUAUCAAACAUGUCAAUUGAUAUUUUACGGACCCAAUCCCUCUUUGGACCCAAUUAGAUACGCUAUCAAACGACCCCUAAGUCUUUGUUAAUUGCAGGUAGACCCCAAUACUAGACCUUCCAUCAGUUAUGCAUAUUUCAUAAACUAAAAACAUUAGUUACCUUAAGUCUUUUGACUUUAGGUAGUCAUAGCGGUUCUUCAUUUGUUUUUCGUCGGCAAUAAAGUUAUGUUCAAUUUUUAAUGUUUGAGCUACAUUCCUCCAAGAUAGUGCUUUCAAACUACUCAUUUCUCGUCCAUUGACCGUAACUUCAAGUAAACAAACUUCUAGAAACGCUUUCUCUACACCUUCGACCUUCCAACUAAUCAUGUCCUUCUUUUCUAACAUUUCUUUGAUCAAUUCAACAAAAAAAUGCAUGUUUUAGCAACAAGUUAAGCAUUGUAAAUACACAUUUUCAACAACAAUUUACGCAAACAAAUGCACAUUAUCAACGACUACUUCAACAAAACAAAUGUACAUUUUCCACACCUACUUCAACAAAAACAAAUGCACAAUUAGAAAAACUAAUGCAUAUUUCAUGAUAACAGCAAGAACAUAUAUGAUUUCACUAUAACAUCAAACACAAAGAUAAUUUCAGCAAAAACAUUUCAGCAUAAUAAUCGAACAGAAAAACAUUGAACAUAAAAAAUUGAGUAUAAAAAAUCAACAAUAACAUCAAAAAUUCAACAUCAACAUCUCAUCAUAUUCAUUGAACACAUUCAAAUUCGAUCGUAUACCAUCAAAAUCGAGUAUAUAACAUCAAAAUCGAGCAUAACAUCAAAUAUAGAUUACAAUUGAACAAAUCAGAAACCGAUUAGCAUAACAUAAGAACUUAUUUCGAUUUUUGAUUUUCAAAUUUGGGGGGAAAGAAUGAAGAAACAAAAGAAGAGCAAUCGAUUUUCAAAAAAGGAGAACGAACCUGUAUUCGAUUUUUGAUUUUCGAGUUUAAGGCACAGAAGAAGAGCAUCGAUGUUGCAAGGGUGUUGCAACGUCGACGAUGGGGUGGGCUGCGAAGGGAAGCAGACGCGAAGGGGGGAAGAAGACGCACAGAACAGGAGAAGAGGAGGCGAGUUAUGUUCGAUCGUGUGGUUUAGGGCAAAACAAGAAACACGUUUUUUUUUAAAUUCAGACUUUGUUCCGUAUCUAAAAAAUUAAGAGGUGUUUUUAAUUUUAAGAGGUAAAAAUUAAGAUGCAAACAGAUGAUCUGAAUCUGAAUUUUUCAUACAUUGCCUCUUGAUUUUACAAUUAAGAGGUAAACAGGCAGGGCCUUAUUUAGUGAGAGGCUUGGGCACAUCUGAAAAGAAAAAAAAGACACACAUAUGUUCUUUCUCUUCUCUCGACAUUGAACACAACUCCUCCCUCUUCUUGCAUGUGCCCUCUUCGACGUCUCCCAUCGGCAUCCUUAUCGGACGUCGCACACCGUUGGCAAAAGGAAGCCGACCUCGCACACUGUCGGAGCAGCGCUCGCAGAGACUGCCCUCUGUUCUCGGUAAUCAUUUUUCAGAAAUUUAUGCACUUUUUCGAUUUUCUUCCUGAAAUUGCUUCAGUAUUGCAAGAAGCUCGACAUUGAAGCCCUAGAUUGAUUACCUCACAAUUCAACAGAAAACAUGUUAGCCUUAUGGUCUUCUUUUUUAUUAGUUUCUAUAAACUUGAUAAUUAUUUAAAUUAAGUGGGAUUUUCGGUGUGUCAUGUUUUGUAAAAGCUUUGUUGAGAACCUUGAUCACAAUUAAUAGUUAAUCCUUUUGGUAACUAAUGUUUUUUUUAAACGGCAAAUCUAAUCUACUCCUAAACUACUCCUUAAAUCCACUUAUGUCACAACAAGACUUGAACCCUCAACCUCAAGGAGGGAGGGCAACAUCGGAUACCGUUGGGCUACAAGCCCUUUGGUGCUUAAGUGGGCAAAUCUAAUCUACUCCUAAAGUCAAAGUUUGGUGCUUUUUUGAUGUUAAAAAACAAAACCGGCAAUGUGUACAAUCCACCAACCAACACCUUUAAUCUUUCCAAAGAAAAAUGGGGACUAGAAUCAAAGGAUUUUGUUUAGUUAUAAAAAAUAUAUUAUUAUGUUUAAAUAAUAAAAUAUUUUUUCUAAACAGUCAAACAAACAUGUGGAUUCUUUGAGACGCACGCCACUACCGUACCCCGACCUUUGCAUACAGUUGUUUGAAGGCGCGACUACGACAGACAUUCAUAGUUGGGGGCCAACUUCUACCCUUCCCCGUCCUGCUCAAGAAUCAAGCCACUAUAGUUUGCAUGACUUUGAUGACAUUGAUUACAAUCAACAAAAAAUUAUAGCUCUCAGUGAGGAGUCCUCCGCUCAAUCAAAAAAACAAAAGACUACAGAUUCGGCGAAGAGUCAAAAUAAAAGUAAAGAUAAGGGUAAAGAUGCAUCGAAUUCAAGAUUGCUUGAAAUCGGGGAAGAUAUUGCAAUAGUUGCUAAGAUAUUUGUGGAACACGAGAUAUUGGUUAUCUGAUUAUCGACGGCAAUGUGCAUUAACUAAUGAAGAAAAAUUCAAUCAUGCACAUACGCAACUCAGAAAUGUUAUUGAACGUGCAUAUAGUGUUUUGAAGGCGAGAUUCCCAAUCCGAAAGCGAAUGGCUCCUUUUCCUUUUUCAGUGCAAAGAGAUAUAGUCGUCGCUUGUUUUGCAGUCCACAAUUUCAUAAGGAAAUGUGAUAUUCAUGAUGAGGUAUUUAUGGCGUUCGAGGAGAACAAUGGUAAAGCACAAUGGGGAGAGAAUGAUGGCCAAAACGUACACGAUAUGGAAUGGGGUUCACAAGGCAAUGAAUACAUGGAUAAUUUGCGAGACCAGAUUGCGAAUCAAUUGGGGUCAAAUUAAAUUUGUAGGAUUUUAUUUGGAUUUUAGUAUGAUUAUGUGGAUUUAAAAAUGUUUAUGUUUGAUAUGGAUUUGUGUUUAAUUUUGAUUUAUGCUAAAUUUGGAUUUUAUAUGGUAUUUAUGUUGUAUUAGUGUCUAAGUCCAUAACUAUAAUUGGUAUAUACUUGACCCGACCCGGCAUGGUCCAUUCGGGUUGCAUGGCAUCAGAACAUUUGGGUAGACCUUUUAAUGAGAAUAAGAUAUUUGUGACAUAUUAAUAUAUUAUACGUUCUAAUAUAUUAAUAUGAAAUCAUAUUAUUUAAUUAGUAUUGAUCAAGAAUUAAUUUGGAAUUAAUUUAGUGAUCAAAAAGAGACUAAUUAAAUAUAUGGGGAUUGAUUGUGUAAAUCAUUGAUUCUUAUAUAUGUGGGCUUAUGAUCCAUGAUUCCUUAUGUUGGCUUUAACCCAUGUGGUGGCACAUGGAUACUCCAUGGAGGUUAAAACCCAUGGACCAUAAGGAAUGGGUAAAGUCAUGGGUUACAUGGUGUAACCCUAAUGUGCACACUAUAUAAAGACCCCAUUGGUCGGUGAAAUUGGCACUAGUACGUAAUAUAGAGGGCAAGCCAAUUUCUAUGAACUUAUAUCUUCUCUCAUGGUUAUUCCAAAUGUUCAUGGUGUUGUGUGAACCAUUUGAGGUGUCACACUUGGGGCACUAGGCUCUUGAGCUCCAUGGAAUCAAGCACCAACAAAUAGGUAUGUAAUUCUACUAGUUUUAUAUGACUUGUACUUCAUAAUAUGCUAGUUAGGAUAAUACCUUGGAAAAAUUGAUAUUUGCAUGUAUAAUAGAGAAAACAUAGAUCCAAGGUAUUUGGGGUUGCAUGUACACCAUAGGAGUGUUAGAAUGCUCAAAACCCAACAGUGGUAUUAGAGUCAUGGGUUGUUUUAUGUUAUAUUGAUGCAAAUGUUUUAUUUUCAAAGUUGAAAAAAAAAAGAAAAAAAAACAUGACGUUUGUCAAAUUUUAAGAUAAUUACUUGUUUUUGUGAAAAACUAAUUAUUUGUAAAAUUUGAAUCAUUUGCUAUAUGAGUUGAAUUAAGUCAAAUUUAGUAAAAGAUAAAAUGAUAUGAUUAUUUUAUUAGUUUUAAAAGUUUGAUCUAAAGAGUUUUUUGAAGCCUCCAUAAGUUAUGGAUAUGAAAAGGUUUUAAGAAAAUUGAUUCAAAUUUUUUUUAUGGAGUUACAAAACUUGGUCUUAUUGUUUUAAAGAAUUUCAUAACUUGUUCUUAAGUUAUGGAACAUGAAAAGUUUCAUCAUAAAACAAACAUUAAACUCCAUAAGUUAUUGAAUCCAAAAGUUUUUUUUUUUGUGUGUUACCUUGUUUUAUGAGUUAAUUUAGAUUGAUGAAAAAAAAUUGUGUGUUGGUUGUUUUCAAUCCAAAUUGAUAUAGAAAUAGUUAAUAAAAUGUGUUUUUGUAACUUGUCCUCGAGUUAUAUUGUAGCACCUGAUUCCUGGUAUGUAUUCGUGGUUAUUAAAUCUCUUUAUUUUGCAUAAUUAGCCUUGGACUCGGCGAGUUGAGGGACAGACUCGCCGAGUAGAAGCGGGACUAGACACGGGAUUUACUCGGUCUACUCGGCGAGUAGGUCCGAUGGACUCGGCGAGUAGACCCUGUUUGGACUUAAACCCAAACCCGGGUAUUUGCACCCUAUUUAAUCGACCUAACCCAACCUCCACUUCCCUUAGCACUCCCAGAGACCUGUAGAACGAAACCCUAGCCUCCUUUGUGUCCUUGUGGGUGAUUGUUAACAUUUUGAAGGUGAUUUGGGGCCUAAGAGAAGAAGGAGAAGAUUGAAGAGUGCAAGAAGGGAAGGAGAUCCAGAAUCUACUCUGUGAAAGGCCUCUAUUCAGGUAGAAAAGACCCUAACUUGAUCUUUAGCUCGUUAGUCCCCUUUUGUCCCUAAGAAAAGAGGUUUUAAGCCCUAAAAACCUAAAUCUCUAUGUGUUUAUGGCUAAUGUUCUGCAAGAACUUCGAAUGUGGACCUUUUGGACUUCAUGGUAGCAUAAAGUCUAUGUGGUUGAGGUAGUGGAAGUCCCCAUUGAGCAUAGGACCUUUUGUAUAGCUUGGAAGUGCAUGUUUGAGCUCAUAGGGCCAUGCAUGCACGUAAAGUUUACAACUUUACGUGGUAAAUGAACCCUAGGACCAUGGAUCUGUGGUCUGGAAGUGUUGCAUGUCCUAGAUCUGGCCUACUCAGGAAGUGGGUCGAAGGACUCGGCGAGUCCCAAGGUGGAACUCGGCGAGUUCUAUGAAGAUGGUCGUCGACUCGGCGAGUUGGAUGAACAAACUCGGCGAGUCCUAUGAAGAUUGCCUGGAACUCGCCGAGUAGUUCUUCAAACUCGGCGAGUAAUAUGAACAUCCACAGAACACGAGGGGUUUAAGCGUCAAAGGCUCAACCCUUCGUACCUGUGCACGGAAUUAACCGUAUAACGUAGUCCCGAAACCCCCAAACCCUCGAAUGGGGUGUUUUGGUGUGGAUUGGAAGCAAGCAGAGGACCUGCUCGAGGAACUCGGCGAGUUGGUACUCGAGUCGGCCCCAAAGUCCCGGAUAGCGAGUCAGGGGUGACUCAGUGAGUGAAAGAGGGACCGGAUCAGUGAGAGAUGGACUCGGCGAGUUGCUCUAUGGACUCGGCGAGUCCAGCCAACUGGAAGUUGACUUUGACCUGGUCUUUGACUUGGUGAGGGGUAAAAGGGUCAUUUUACCCUAAGAACAUCUAGCGUGUUUGACUGAUCGUUUUUGUGGGAAUUACAGUCGAGGGACGUUAGCAGCAGCAGCAGCAGUAGACAGCCAAUUCCCACACAGACCAGCAGCCUAUUUCGAGGUGAGUUUCCUUUCCAGUAGGAACGGGUCUAAGGCACCAAGGCCGACCCGUGUAGACGAGAUGCUAGUACUAGAGUGUGGGUCGAGCCCGUAUCUCUAGGUUUAGUCAAGUAUGAUAUAUGUGUUAAUAUGAUAGAGUUGCUUAUACUUGUUGUCUGCGUGAUACUUGUAUGUUAUGGGUUAGCGGUUGAGUGUGGGCAGGGCCCGUAUCUCUCCGAGGUUGGAGUGUGGGCUAGGCCCGUAUCUCCCAGAUAGCGAAGUGUGGGCAGGGCCCGUAUCUUCACAAGUGUGGGCGAGGCCCGUAUCUCCCGGCUAGCGAAGUGUGGGCAGGGCCCGUAUCUUCCCGAGUGUGGGCAAGGCCCGUAACUCCUAGCUGAACAUUGGUUGUUAUAUGUUUGUAUGGUAUGAAGUAUUAUGGGGGAACUCACUAAGUUUUGUGCUUACGGUUUUCAGUUUUGGUUUCAGGUACCUCCUCAGCUAGAGGAAAGGAGACGGCGCGGUGGCAGCAUGUCACACACACACUCUCUGGUUUCCGCAUUUAUGAGAUUCUCUGGGAUUGAUACUCUGAUAUUUGAUUAGUUGUAUGUUUUGGGUUUCAGACAUGGUUCACUUUAUGUUAUGGUUGAUCAAACAAUGUUUUAGUUAUUAAUAUUUUCUAAAGUAAUGUUUUUUUUUAAACAAAAUUUUUGGUCGUGAAAAUUGGGUCGUUACAUAUAUGAUAAGUCACAUUUAUGAAUUUUAAAACUCAUAAAAAUGUCAUAGGUUACAAAAUUGAAGAGUCAUUUUUGUCAUAAAUAGUUUUAUGAACUUCAUAACUUGUCCUCAAGUUAUGGAUGUCCAAGAGUCUCUUCAUUGAAAGUUUUUUUAAAACUUUAUUUAAACUCAUAAGUUAUGAAAAUCCAAGAGUUUUGAAUAGUUUCAAAACUUGUCAUCAAGUUUUGGAAUUUGUAAAGUCUCACACACAUUAAUGCUUUAAUUCCAAACUCUAGAAUUUUAAAAGUUCAAAUUCAAACUUUAUGGACUUCAUUAAAUUAAUUUAAGUGUUUAAUUAAAGGAGUUAAUAGUUCCAUAAUGACAUGGUUUAAGUUUAAUUAAAUUAAGAGUAUAGUUUAAUUAAUAAGAUUAAACCACCAAGUAUUAUAAAUGUGUAAAAUACACCGUUAAACUAUUAUAAUAUUAAAAGUUAAUACUUAUAUAUAUGUAUAAGAGUAAAGUCAAUCUUACCGUUAAUGGCCUCAUUCACGAAGCCUGUCUCUAAGGGGGUAUAAGGUUAUUGCAUAUAAGAUGACAGUUUAAUGAGUGUCCACUCUCACCCGCUGCUUCCUUGACUGGUAGAGGGUCGUUAGCCGAACGGGUAAGAUAGGACUAUAAUUCUCCCUUCAUUAAAAGUAUAAUGAUAAAUGCUAAGUAACUAAACACUUAUAAAUUCUCAAUCUUAGUUACUUAGGAAAAUCUGAAAAAGGUGUUAACCCAUGAAAUUGCACUUUGCACCUUGUUAAGUCGUUAGUGGAGCGUGUGUGGUUAACUGGCACACUAACAUGGGACUGACCAAGUGUGGCAAAGGGUAACUUAAAUUUAUCAUAGAUCGGUGGAGCGUGUGUGGUUAACCGGCACAUCGAUUAGGUGAUAAAUAUUAAGGGUACCAAGUAUAUUUGCAUGGUUAUUCACACUUUUUUUUGUGAUCCUCGGCAUCCCAGUCACAAACUUGAGAGGGCACAAUCGAGAUUCAAACAUGUCAUUGAAAGUUCAAUGUAUCUAAAAAGACCUAGGAGUUUCAAAUCCAAUUAAAACUUAAUUAUAUUUAAUUUUUCAUGGUGGAAAUUGGUAAAUCGUCAUUUACCUACCUAAAAAGACCUAGGAGUUUCAAAUCCAAUUAAAACUUAAUUAUAUUUAAUUUUUCAUGGUGGAAAUUGGUAAAUCGUCAUUUACCUACCUUCAACUGUUUUAUAACUCGGAUUACGACAUCCCUCUUCCAGUUAUAAGUAGGUUGUUGGGUCCUAGCCUUAAUAUAUCAUAUUGGGUGUUAUAUUAAGGACUUUAAAUCAACUAACUUGAAUUUCUCCUUUAUAGAUGUCUCCUUCAGACAACUAUGGUCUUCCCAAAUCUUUAGGAACAAGCUUCCUAAUGAUGAAGAUAUCCCAAAUGGCAACCAAGGUGAAAGAUCAAUCCCUUUGUUAUGCAUUAGUGGGACUGGAAAUCAUACUUCACUUCCUCCACCUCCUCCAAUAAAUCUCCAUAUCCUACAAGUUUCAAGACUUGAUAAGUUAUAAGUCACUCAAUCCCUAUUGGCAAGCAAAGUCUAUAUGUUUUUACAUCUUUGACGUUAAGUCACAUAUUGACAAACCGGGAGAGUCGGGUGUCGAAGUCUCGAGGUAGCUGGUUGUUGACUUGGUUCUUCAGUCACUCCCUAAUGACAGAUCACGACAUGACCCUUAAUGAUCUUACCUAUUUUCUUGAUGAUGCUAAAUCACCAAUGAUUUGGAACAUUGGUAAAGCAAAUUAGAUUGGAAGAUCUACUUCCCAAACCUAUUUGGACAUUGACAAUGGUGACAUUGGAAGUCCAGAAAACUUUCUCUUCCCAAUUGAAAUGGAUCGGUCAUGGUCAAGUCGUUUGACAUAAUGGUAAGGAUAAAGUCUAAGUCUGUGAUAGUCUCGUAUACCAUUUCCAAAGAGUCCAUAUAUUUCUUUUGCCAAUAAAAGGUACAUUGGUUGCAGAGCUGCCUAAUUUACCUGAAAUUUCAUAAGGAAGGUAAAGUAAAAAAGUUUGACUUUGCUUCGGGUAAACUCCAUUAUCUAACUCUGUUAAGUCUCCUUUUGAGAUUCUUAAUACAUGAUGUAAUGUAAUUACAUAUUGAUGUUUUGGAAGAAUCAAAUGAAGCUUAAAGUAUGAUUAUGUUGAUUCUGUUAUCAAAUUUCAUUUGAAUGUCAAGAGUUGACAAAGGUUUUAAGGGAAUUUGUUAGUCAUUGCAUGUAUUCAGGAUACUAAGCGCACUAUAAUGGUUAUAAAUUUUGGUAUUCAAGCAUUGCGAAAACAAAAAAGUAAUAAUAUAGGUGUCUUGAUGCCUUAGAAACUCAACGUCAAUGACAACAUAAUAGAAGCUAGCAGAUGUUGUGAUAUGAUUAUGGCGAUCUAUGUAGGGGAGUAGGUGAAGAACGUCAUGUGUGCUUAUGCCCUGCAUGUCAAGUUAGAGUAGUUGGGAAAAUAGAGUUAGAGGAUCGUCACUUGCUGUACUUAAGAGCAUCCUAACGGUCCAACAAGUGGUCUCAAUGGAAGAUCUUAAUGUUCAUACAAGGAGAGAGAUAAAUGAUAUGUGGGUAUGUAUGAUGGUUUUGGUUUUCUUACUAGGGGCGACGAUAGGCAUUAUGCUUGAGUACGCUAUUUUGCACACAAUUGAUGGUCUCAAACUCUUUCCAAAAGAAGAAAGUACAUUUGUACCAUUCAAAGUGUAACAUUUCACCCAAGUUGACAACCUCUUUGUGUGUAAAUGAAGCAUUAAGGCAUUCAUAGAUUGCAUGGUGAAAGUGCUAUUAGGAGAGGCAUCCACAUCAUAAAUUCGAAAGUUUUUUGUGAACUUAUGCUUAAGUAUGAGUGUGUGAACGAGAACCAAACUAACUAAAUCAAUCAUUUUUUGGAAAACUUAAGGGUGCCACUUAUGAGCAUUUUAUAGAUAUGGUUGUUUUAGAAGUGGAUUUUGGAGUCAUUCAUGUGAGGAAUGUUAAUCACAUGUGAAACAGUGUGGUCAAAAUCACGGUGGCCAAAAAACAUCUGAGACGUCGAUUGGGAAGACGAACGAGCGUAAAGUGUCGUGAAAGAGGAGAAAGGAGUUUCAAGCUAAGACCAAGAUAAAACAAAAUCAAUUUAAAGUGCUUUUAUUAAACGAUGAGAACGGGGAAAUAACCCAUAAAGAUAUAAUGAUACCAAACGAGAUGUAAGAGGAGAUGUACACAAGAGUAGAACAAAAUUGGAAUAGUGAGUCGAUAAAAUUGGAAAAGUGCUUUUAAUAAACGACGCCGCCAGCCCCGCCUCCGCCUUCGCCGCCGAUAGCUUCUGUAGGUAAGUUUUUUCUUUUCUUUUUCCUUUGAAAAUCAAGUUCAAGAAGUUUCUUUUGCCGUGAAAAUCGACUAUCAGAUGCCCAUAUGUAGUUAUUUUUUUCUUUUCUUUUUCCUCUGAAAAUCGAGUUCAAGAAAUUAUGGUUGUUUUGCUCUUUUUUAACUUUUGCGUUUUGUUAGUGGUGUUUCUUACGAUACGCAGAACAUAGCUUGAGAUAAUAGAAAGGGGUAGCAGUGAAAAUCAAUUAGUAAAUGAGGAUAUUUAAAGCAACGAAAUGUGAUGCACCUCAAAUAAAGCAACGAUUUUGGUGUUCUGUUAAACAAACUAUUUUGAAUUGCCAAUCAACCUUGUGGGAUCCACCCACCCCCUAAUGUUUAGACUUAGUAAAUUCAUUGACAAUCAAUCUUGUCUUCAUCACCAAGCACUUUGUAGUCAAGAAUUUUUCCAAGGUUUUUAUUUUAUUUUCAAACCCCAACUGGAAACCAACUUCACAUCCAAUCUUUGAGAUAAAAGCCACUUCACUAAUGGAGGAGAAGUUGUCUUCACAAAUGGAGUUGAUACUGGAGUUGGGAUGGAGCAAUUGAGGUCGAAGUCGCCAUUCAGUCGACGGGGUUGAAUAGUGUUCGUACAUGGAAGGCAAGAAGAAAGGUCGAGUUUCCAUCGUUUUGAGUUUAGAACUCCGAAUUCAAAAUGGGGAAUAUUAAGAUUGACAGGGUGGGUUAUAAUUUAUUGGACCAUUUUCCAUAUGGGGAGCCUAGGCAUCAUCGAGGUUAAUGGGCUCCAUAAUAUUGGUAGAAGGUAUGGGCCUAGGGCAAUUGUCUUGAGAAGUUUUACAGUUCCUGAAAGGGUCCUCGUGUGUCGUAUUGUCGACCUCACCGUUAUUAUCAAUAGACUUACCGUCUCCCGAAGGAGUCAAUGCAUUAAUAAUUCUAUUUUCCCCAUACGGCUGUUUGCCUACCGAAUUGAAUUAUGAUGAAUCAACAUCUUUCUCUAUCUGUGGCUUGUGAUUCUCCUUCAUAAUAAUAUGAUAUUGGAUCCCAAGCUUCAGCACAUUCUACAACCCCCACUUUGAAUGACUUUCCGUUGUAUGAACAUGUGACCUCCUCAUUUAUAAGUUUGCGUCCAGAGUAAAGGAUACAAACACAAAAAUACGUGGGGUUGGAGUUGUGCCAGUUACGGCCGUCGACUUUAAGAACCUUCCCGAAAUUGUUUGCAAUUUCACCCACGUUCUCAUUAAAACGUAGGUAAAUUGGGAGCCCAUGUAUUCUUAUCCAAGCUAAUCUUUCAAAAUUAUAGUCUUCCAAGAUUCCAAAUUUCAACCACGAGAACCAUUUGUUCCAAUUGUAUUGAGUGUCGAGAUAUGUCUUUGCAGCUAACGGGUCAAAGAAUUUGAGGACAACUUUCCUUCCUCCUGCGUAAUACAUAUGGGGAGGGAUACUCCCAUCGGCGUAAAACAAUUUAGGGAAUCCUUGAGAUGUUGAAAAGUGAUUGCUUCUCCGAUUAGAGACGAUUGUUCCAAACCAAUCAUGGUCAAAACCUUCUUGAGAUUAAUCAGUGGGGUUUCCUAUUGAGCAGGGGGGUUCGAAUAUUCCAAAUUCAUGACCACAUCAACGAAAGAUAUGCCUUUUUUCAUUUUGUUCCACGUACCUUGAGGCUGCCUUAGUGGUGGGACUUGAAACUUACUUCUGGUAUGAAAGUUAUCUUUCUGCAUAGGAGCAUUCUCGUACUUGGAUACUUUCACAUUCAAGAUACAAUAACCACAUCUUGUGCCAUUAAGGGCAUUCGCCAUUGCCACCUUAUCUUUUACAUUUGCGUAUUUGAUGAAUGCAAAGUAAGACCCACUUUUGUCUUUCCUUCAUGGGAUGUAUAUGUCCGCCAUUCUCCCAAAGUCUUUGAAUACUUCCUUCAUCAUAUCAACAAUUAUGUCGCCCUAGAUAUUAGUUACAUAGAAGGAAAUGAUGAUCUUGACCUCCUGGAACUUUCUCCGACGAAUCUGAGUUCAUCCUCCGUCGUCAAUGAUCUCGAGCCCCUUCGACUCCCUAGAGAGCAUUUCGUUUCUCUCCAUCGACUCGAUCAUUAAUUGAAGUGGUGUGUUUAGUGGUAAGUAUUCCAUGAUUAAUGGUGAGAAGUGUGAUGAUGAUGUGAUGGAUAUAACAAAUCACCUUUAAUUGAAAUGUGUAUGUGUAUAUGAAUUAAACCAAAGACAAUUAUGCUCGAGAGCCUCUCUUUUUCUUUUAUUUUCAUCUACGCCCCCCACUUCCCGCCCCCUUUCUCCUCCAUCUCCAAUCUCCCUCGUCUGCCUUCCUCCAAUUUGCAACGCCGCCGCCAGCCCCGCCUCCGCCUUCGUCGCCGAUAGCUUUUGCAGGUAAGUUUUUUCUUUUCUUUUUCCUUUGAAAAUCGAGUUCAAGAAGUUUCUUUUGCCGUGAAAAUCGACUAUCAGAUGCCUAUAUGUAGUUAUUUUUUUUCUUUUCUUUUUCCUCUGAAAAUCGAGUUCAAGAAAUUAUGGUUGUUUUGCUCUUUUUUAACCUCUGCGUUUUUUUAGUGGUGUUUCUUGCGAUACGCAGAACAUAGCUUGAAAUAAUAGAAAGGGGUAGCAGUGAAAAGCACUUAAUAAAUGGGGAUAUUUAAAGCAACGAAAUAUGAUGCACCGCAAAUAAAGCAACGAUUUUGGUGUUCUGUUAAACAAACUAUUUUGAAUUGCCAAUCAAAUAAAGCAACUAAAUGUGAUGCACCUCAAUAAUGGUAUUUUUCUGAAGAUCCUUUCUAAUAUUAUUUUUAACAACCGUAAUCAACUAAUAUUUUUUUAAUCAAUAUGUCGUGUAACAAUCACAAGUGAUAUAAAUUAUAAUUGUAGAACANNNNNNNNNNNNNNNNNNNNNNNNNNNNNNNNNNNNNNNNNNNNNNNNNNNNNNNNNNNNNNNNNNNNNNNNNNNNNNNNNNNNNNNNNNNNNNNNNNNNNNNNNNNNNNNNNNNNNNNNNNNNCUGGUCAACCUAGAGUUAGAGGGGUGAAAUAAAAUAAAUUGUUAUUCUAUUGCAAUUUUUUAAUACGCUAUUCCUUAAUCAAGGUGUUUUUCUUCAACUAAUGAUUGAUGAAUUUUAAUAGGUUAAUGUAAUAUUUUGAAUAUCAAACAAAAUGAUAACUUCACUUGUGUAAUCAAGGUUUGACCACUUUUUAAGUCCAGUAAGUGAUGGAACUAUAUAGGAAAGUAACAUCCUAAAAGAAAAUUGUUUUAGAUAUAAAAAACAAAUGAUUUGUAAACAUUAUUGUAUCUCCAAUUAAAGUGAUUAUAUCAUGUUUUAAUAGUUGUUAUAUCAUAUUUGGUAAUAGCUGUUAUAAGAGAAUUACAGACUUUUCUAGUUGCUAUAAUAAAUGUAAAGCAAUAAGUUGGAGAAUAACAUAGAUGAUUAGGUUUUAAAUGAUUAUUUAAUUACAUUUUAUUAAGAAGAAUAUGUUUUAAAAGUUCUUAAUGAUGAUAUCAUUGAUUAAUUCAAGACAUAACAACUAAACAAAUUCAAUUGUAAUUUUUACUUAAAUUUUUUUUUUUGGAUUUACGAUUUUAAAUAUUAAAAGCUCUUUGCAUUUACUAUUUUGAAUCGUGACAAUCUUUGUAUCCCCGUAUUAAAUUUCAUAGCUCCGCCAUGGUCCAAUAGAUCAUUCGAAAGUGAAAUUGCAUUGUAGAUUCAAAAUGUCAAUUGGAAUUUUACAUUGUAGUAUAAGUUAAAUGAGUCACCUCUUCUAAUCUAUUUAAUUUAAUAAAUAUGUUGAAUUGAGUAAUAAAUAUCAAAAAUAUCAACUUGAUUUCAAUCUGAUUAUUGAUUGAUGUGCUGACAUGGAAAUUUUCAACAUGGUUGCUUAAAUGUGUUGUGUCGGAUUGAGAUUUUCAACCUAAUUGGUCAAACAGAUUAACCCGAAAAUAACCCAACCUAAACCAUUACUAUUUGCCUAUUUGUAAAUUGCAGCCAAAUUACACAAUUAAUAUUCAGGUUAAAUAGAUUAGUUUUGGGUUAGUCCAAAUAACAUAUGGCUGGUUUGACCGCCUGGGUACUAGUAUUUAACCAAUUUUUGUGGGCCGAAGCCAACUACAUAAAUUGUGUUUUAUUUUUAGAAUCUUAAUUAAUUUAAAUGUAUAUAAAAUAUAACUUUUAUUAUCAUCAACACAUGAUGUUAUUCGGAUUUUAGGUGGCCUGGAUUAAAUCCCUCACACCAUAACCGAUUUUUUUACCCGAAUAUGAAUAUGAUGUUAUUCGGAUUUUACUAUUCUGAUGUAUAUUUAAGAAAUGAUCCAUCUAUUCUUUUAAAAUGUAUAAAUUCUUCGUAAUAAGAACUUGAUAAAUAAAAACUUAUAAACUUCGUAAGGCGUUGUUAUUUCAAAUAUUGAUUUGUAAAAAAUAUGCUGAAAGAAUCUGACACCAAAUAUUAAAAAGAUUUAAAAUGAAAACUUAAAAGGGUUGUUUUGGAUUGAUCUAAAAGCCCCAAAGUAAAUCAUUAGGCCCAAAGACCACAUUCGUCCGAAUCACCCUAAUAUAAUGACAAAAUUUCAUAAUAAGUCCUCGGUUUUUUUUUUUUUUCAAAAUAUCUCAUUUUAAUGACUUUUAAGAAAAACGUCAUGCCAUUGGUCUAUUUUUUUUUGCAAAAUUACAUGAAAGAUCCUCCUGUCGUUAAAUGUAACUUUUCAUCUUUUAGAUUUUAAUGAAAAAAGAUUACUAUAUCCUUAUAUCAAAUUUGCAAUAUACUACAAACCUCAAUAACCAUUAGUAUNNNAAACAAAAAAAAAAAAAAAGAACUUCAAUUUAAAAUAUUCUAACAACUUUUUUGGAGAGUCCGACUCUUAUUAUUUAUUUAUUCUUUAUUUCAAUCUAUUAUCAAAUUGAAAAAAUUAUUUUGAAUUUAAACUAUUGAUAUCUCAUAUAGAAAUAAGAUUUAAUAUACAAGUUACAUUUAAAAAAAAUUAGCUAGUUUACUUUAUUAAUAAUUAUAAAUCGCAAAUAUCACACAUUGAAACAUUAAUUCUCAAUAGAUAAACCGUUUGAUUUUUUUAAUUUUAGUUUGUCAUAACAUAUACAAAAUAACAACUAAAGAAGAAAAAAAUGGACCAAAAUUACAAAUAUAAAUUUAACUUUUUUAUUUACUUGAAUUAAAAUAAAAAAAAGUUACAAAAACUAUAAAUAACCAAAUUAUAAAAAAGUAGAAAACCAGAAAAACACAAACACCAAAAUUGUAAUAUACUCUAAUAUAUUCAUACAUUUUAUACUUUAUGGAAAAGGUAAAAAAAUUAUUUAUUUUUUUUUAUUUUUCAUUACUUGAAUUAAAAAAUAGAAAAAAAAAUAAUAUGAAAAAUUUUAAAAAUAUAUAUAUGAAAAAAAAACAAGAAAAAAAAAGUGUAAAACGUAUGAAUAUAUUAGAGUAUAUUACAAUUUUUGUGUUUGAGUUUUUGUUUUUUGUUAUUCUAUUUUUUAUUACUUGAAUCAAAAUAAAUUAAAACAAUAGAAAGACACUGGAGAGAACUAGUCUCUCGGGCUAGAAUAAUAAAUAGAAAAACAAAAAAACAAAUAACAUUUUUUAUUUUUCUAUUUUUCGCAUUUAUUUUGAUUCAAGUAAUGAAAAAUAGAAAAACGAAUAACCUUUUUUAUCUAUUCCAAAAAGUGUAAAAUGUAUGAAUAUAUUAUAGUAUAUUACAAUUUUGGUGUUUGAAUUUUUUUUUUUUUGGUUUUCUAUUUUUUUUUAUAAUUUUGGUUCCUUAUGGUUUUUUGUAAUUUUUUUUAUAUUUUGAUUCAAGUAAAUAAAAAAGUUAUAUUUAUAUUUGUAAUUUUAGUCCACUUUUUUUUCUUUAUAUUGUUUUUUCUAUAGUUUUUGUAAUAUAUAUGUUACGACAAAUUUAAAAAAAUAAAAAUAAAAAUAAAAAUAAAAAAAACUCAAACGGUUUGUCUAUUGAGAAUUAGUGUUUCAAUGAUAUUUGUGAUUUAUUAUUAAAAUAGGAAAACUAGCUAAUAUUUUUAAAAUGUAACUUACAAAUUAAAUCAUAUUUCUAUAUAAGAUAUCAAUAGUUUAAAUUCAAAAUAAUAUUUUUCAAUUUGAUAUGGAAUAAAGAAUAAAUAAAUAAUAAGAGUCGGACUCAACAAAAUAAUUGUUACAAUAUUUUAAAUUGAAGUUUUUUUUUUUUCAUUUACUUGAAUCAAAAUAAAUAAACAUAUUAGAAAAACUAAUUAUAACUAAAAUUAUAUAUAUAUANNNNNNNNNNNAACAUACCGAUCUAAAUUUUUUUCACGAUGCCUUUUCUAGAUGGUUUGGCAAUGAUAAUGGCAAUGGGUUGUGGGCCACUUAAGAGAUUGUCAAAGCACCCACAUUAGUGCUCUCGAUAGAUUUGCAAAGUGCCACAUAGGUUAAAUGAAAAAGACACGUAGUUAUAAACUUGCAACUACAAUAAGGCGUGCAACCUAAUUAUACCAGGACCAUUCUUUAAAACAAACAAACGUCAAUAAUUAAUUUACUUGUUAUAUUUUGUUUGAUCCACGAUUUGAAAAAGACUUCAAAUUGCAUUGAUGUAAGUUUUUAUUGCAAACCAUGAUUUGGCAUAAUUAAGAGACUAUUGAUAUGGAUGGUCGUACUUAUUGAUAAGACAUGAUUCUUUUAUAUGCUUUUUAUGAAGAUCUUGGGCAGAGGCAAAAAAGGGCAAGAAAGUAAGUAAAAGUCGUAGAAGAUGCUCAAGCCCAAUGGGAAAAAUAAGGCAUCAAGGUAAUUGUUCGUAAAGAGUCCAAAAGGGUCAAUGCUCAAAAAUAGUUUUAAAUAGAAAAACCAAUACUCUUCUAACUCAGCUGUGUAUCUGUUAUUGUUCUCGUUCUUAAAUUCAAGGGUUCAUGUAUAUGGAUUUAGAAGUAAAAUACUAUAUUUGUUGAUUAAAAACUUAAGAUAAUAAUGAAAGAAGAUGUAAAGGUACAGAACCAGAUCGAUAAAGUUAUUGAAAAGAUGCUCCUUUUUAAAUCUCUCAACUAAAAGAAUUAUCAAAGGGUAUAAAGCAACCGGGUGGGUGAGGUCAAAGAUGGUGUUGUGUGGAAAGUUGGUGGCUCGAUUCAAGACUUCUUUUACGCAAUAUAAAGCUUUUUUGUAUGAAAAUAGCCGUUGAAAUCUCCACCACAAAAAAAAAUCUGAUAAAUGUUUUUUUUUAAAUCGUGAGUUUUUGAAAAAAAAAUUAGUAACCAUUCCACAUUAACAAUUUGAACUACAUAAAAUCGAACAAAAUCGUAUAAUAGAGAAGACAUAUCUUUUCAAAAGAAAUAAGUACAAAGGUACCCAAUCUCAGCUUAAGUUGAAGUUUUACUUUAAUUAAUAAAAAUAGUUAACAAAAUUAUGCUAAAAAAUUAAAUCUCACUUCUUCUUCUCCGCACCUCCCCCAGACCUACAAUUAAUUUAAAAAAAAAAAUAAGAACAAGUUGAUAAAAUCAAAUAAUUAAAAGAGUAAAUUACACGAAUGGCCCCUAUGGUUUGGGGUAAUAUGAACGCUUGGUCCCUAACUUAUUUUUUUAACUCGGAAGGUUCCUACUGAUUGUUUUCGUUACGUGCUUGGUCCCUACUGUUUGUUUUUGUUACACAUUUGGUCCCUAUCUUAUUAUUUAAAUAGUGAAAAAUAGUGGGGUAGGUAAAAUAAGAUGAAGGAUAAGGAUUGGAGGUGUGUUUAUUUAAAUAAAUCGAAAAAUCAAGGGCAAAAUAAUCUUUUUCAGGGACCAAGCAUGUAACAAAAGCAAACAGUAAGGACCUUUCAAGUUAAAAAAAAUAAGUUAUGGACCAAAAGUGCAAAUUAACUAAACCAUAGAGACUAUUUGUGUAAUUUACUCUAAUUUAAAACUAGUACAAACUAAACAGAAACUAAAAAAAGAAAAGAAAAGAAUACCUCAUCUUGCGAAGCACACUAGACAUCUCCUCUCUCUUCUUCUUUGCUCUCUUGUGGGUACCCAACUUUCUCUUGGCCACCUUAAGGGCACGUUUGUCUUUUCCAACUUUCAACAACUCCGUAAUCCUCUUCUCAUAUGGUGCAAAUCCAGCUACUUCACGGAUUAAAUUCCUCACAAAAUGUGACCUUUUGCUUGUUUUCUACACAAAAAAUACCACUUUUUCAAUCAUCAUGAACAUGUGAUCCAUACAUAAUCAAAGACUCAAAGUAUACUGCCAAGAUUUUUGAGAAAUUUUCAAAAAUGAAAUUUGUACUUACGCCUUUCCUAUCAGAUGGGCGAGGAGCCAACUCCUUCUUGGUGACAACAUGACCUUUGUUCAACCCAACAAACAGGCCUGUGUUUGGCUGUUUUGGAGCCAUCACCUACACUUAGUUUCACAUCGAUUAAACAGUUAGGAUUUUGUCAAAAAAAAAACGAACAUCUUCAAAUGCAUUGAAUCAUCAGCUUUAUAUCAAAUCCACGUUAAGAAUCUUUGCUAAUAAUUCCUAUCAUGAGCAUUCUAUUGAAAGAAUUGAUUAAAAAAAAAAACCUUUUCUAAAGUUAGUUCGGCAUUGAAACCGACAUAAUCAAUUAGGGUAAGUAUUUGUCUAUACAUCAGAAUCUAUGGAAAAACACAGAUUAUAAGACUUCAAAUCAACAAAAACUAUCAAAAUCAAAUCAUGAAAUGCAUCAGAUCAGAUGCACAGGCGUAUGUCAACUCAUAAUGUGCAAAGUUUAACGGGCGUUAAGAAUUCAAUAUGAUCAUAAAAUAAAAUACAGAAUCAGUGUAAGAUGUAAAUUCUAUAUUGGAGAAGACGCGUACCUCGGCGUAUAUCUGAAUCGGCGUAAUAUGAAAGGAGAAACAACGGGAAGAAGAUUAGGGUUUUAGGUCAGGACAUCAUUUUAAUUUAAGAAACUGAGAAUGGGGUUUUUCUUUAGGCUUCUGUAUGUUAAACUAAGGCCCAUGUUCAAGCUAUGACACUAUUGGCCCAUAUAUGUAAGACCCACGGGCCAUGAGUUGGGUAAACCGGAUUUUCUAUCUCUUGUAGACCGAUUUUGAAACGGAUUCAGUUUGAAAUUUUGGAUGAUACGCGAAAGGAAUUGGAUUAUUGUAAACCGAUCUUUGGUAUAAAAUAAUUGGAAAAUGACUUAAAUCGAAACCGAUAACACAAAAAAUGUUCUUUUAAGUCAUUAAACUUUUAAUUGCAUCAUUGCAUCCAAUAAGGAACAUGUGGUUUAUUGUAGAGAGAUCUGGUUUCAAGUACCGACAUAAUGUGGUUGGGGAUGUUUUUUUUUUUAUGUUUGUCGGCGUGUUGGUAUUUUCGUGAAGAAAGAAGCGUUAGUGAACUUUUUAACGGACCCACUGGAUGGAAGAUUCACACUCAGGUUGGCUGACAUUUUGGUCUUAGAUGGGUAUGAGGGAAACACGUUUGUGUGGAUCUUAUUGAGGUCUCCCCUCUCAUCGGUUUGAUGAUCGGGGUUUCACAGCAAGGCAUGCCACUGAGUGCAAAGUGGCAAAGCACGAGAAUACAAACAUAGGAAAUCAAAAUAUGUUUAUACAUUUUGCCUUUGGUACCUUUUGUUUUUCUCGCACCAGAGGCGAUGGAGUUCAUCAACAGAAUCCAACGAGUCAAGAAUUCUAAUGUUAUAUCUCCUAAAUUCACAAUUGUUUUCAAAAGAAUUAGUUUUGUCAUCUAGAAAAUGCUAGCAGCACAGCUUGUUGCCUGUUUUCCUUCCUUCGAUAUGUAUUAACUUUAAAAAACUUUUAUCUACAAAUUAUUACUUUUAAAAUAUAAUAAUAAUAAGGAAACCAAAUUUUUAUUUUGGUUAUAAAAUGUUAACGAUUACGACUUUUAUCAAUUAAAAUGAAAACGAAUACUGUCAUUUCCCUUACCACAUCUAACUAAAAGCCACUUGUAAUCAUUUUUCUCAAACCACAACUGAUAAUCAUUAGCAACAUCAUACUAUUUUAUAACCUUGCCAUUUUAAUCGAUAAAAUUCAUGUAGUUAAAAAUGUGGUUUGAGAAAAAUGACUAUAAUAGGUUAUUAUUAAUAUUAUGGACAACGGUGAGUGGAAAACCGUCGUCCAUAAUCACAGCCCUUAAAACUCAAGAAACUUUUAAUCUGAGUCGCAUAAACUCAUUAUUUCAGUUAACCGGAGGUUUCCUUCUGGCUAUUCCCCACUAUUCCUCCUUCUUCUUUGUAACUCGUCCAACGUAGUCGGAAGUUUAUUUCUUCCACAAUCGGCUCUGCAGCACCCGCCACUCCAUUGCUUCAGGUACUCAGCAUGAAUCCUCCUCCUUCUUCUCCCUCACGAUUCCUCCUUCUUCUUCUCAACCGCCUGCCAUUAACUGCAGAACCCAUGACUCCUUUAUAAUCGGUUUACUCCUCAAGAUGAAAUCCCCACUUCCAUGGUUCUCUACCACGUUUGUAACAUCCCAAAAUUCAAGACCAAAAAUUUUGUUUUUAGUUUAACAAUUCAUAAAAAUCAACAGUAUAAAAACAUUCAUAAUAACAUCCCAUGUCAAAACCAAAGUGUAAAUAAUCAAAACAUAUUAACAUAAAACAAUAUCAGUGUGUAAUCUCCAAAUAUCUCAUGUGUGGAAAACAUAGUGUGAUGAUUUGCGAUCGCCGACUCCUUUCCUUUGAAAACGAAGUACCUGAAACCAAAACUGGAAACUGUAAGCACGAAGCUUAGUGAGUUCCCCCAUCAUACCACAUACCAUACAUAUCAACAUACUGCCUAGCAUAUAUGGGUGUUGUCCUACUCCUUCGGUCUCUUUCAAUCAGAUACAAUCUAGCAUAUAAGCACAUACUCGCAUACUGUCAUACAUAACCAUGAGCCAUACAUAUAUCAUAAUCAGUAAAAGAUGCUAUGUGCCAAACAUAGUCUUGCCAUUAUGCCACGGGCCGCCACGUGGUCUUUCGUGCCAAGUCGGGGGCCACCCCCUCGGUCUCACAGACAAGUGCCAAGAGCCACCUCCUGGUCUUCCAUGCAAGAAUCACAAAGACAAUUAUCAUACAUACUACUCAACUUAACUAAUCAACAUACAGUGUCCUAGGAGCCACCUCCUGGUCUUUCAUACAUAAUAGCAUACAGUGUUCCAGGAGCCACCUCCUGGUCUUUCAUACAUAUUGCCUAGGGUUAACCCCAUGGUCUUUCAUGCACAAUGCCUAUGGCUAACCCUCGGGUCUUCCUAUCAUACAUAAACUAAAUGGGUUGGCAUUGGUGCCUUAGACCCAUACAAACAGUGAGGAGACUCACCUCACACUGUCGAAGUCCCAUAGACAAAACUCUAGCUGCUGGAUGACAAGUUCUCGAAUUGUCAAUCAUAAAAAUAACACCCAAUUAAUAAUUGGGUUCCAACACAUAUCCAUAAGCCCACGCUUGGGGUAAAAGACUGCUUUACCCCUAUCUUAGCUUGAUUCAAGCCCAAGACCUAGUCCAAAGGCCCAAAAGUCAACUAUGAGUCAAAGCCCAACAUAUGGGCCCAAACCUCUACAUGGUCUACCCUAAGGCCCAACCAUUUAGUCCAGUCCAAACAUUUGACAUUCAAAUGGCCCAAUAUUUCAUAAUCAUGAAGGCCCAAAUUAUGGCCUAAUUUUCCAAAUUGGGCACAACCCCUCAUAUGGGCCUUACCCUAAAGCCCAUCCAAUUAUUCUAGUCCAUAUGAUUGUUCUUGAAUGGCCCAUUAUUAGUCCAAUCACCAAAGCCCAAUAGAGAGGCCCAACUUAAGGCCCAAGUGAAAUUAGGGUUUUCACAUAAAAUGACGAUUAGGGUUAAGUGUUUCUCACUUAACCCAUUAAGGACUUAAUCCAUUCAGUCCAUCAAUCUAUCGGGUCAAUCAUGUAGUGUGGUCGGGCUUAAUACACAAUCCCAAUCCGGUCAUCCAAAACGCAAGUCCCGACAGUCCAAUAGUUAGGUCUUUUGAUCAAUUAGGGUUCAUUAGACCUACUAGGGUCUCAUAAGGCCCAUUAGGGUAUCAUUAGUCGAGCACCACCCACUACCACCUCGAGUAGUGGUGGUCACGCCGGCUCGCGGCAGCGGCCACAACCUCACGGUGGUAGUUAGGGUUCUAUUCCAAUCGAGUCCAAGCAUCCCAAAAGUAAUCUAAACAUAUGCAAAGCACACCGCCACCCGACAUGGCGGUCGGUGGCGGCAGGAGGCGACAGCCACCACCAUACGGUGGUGGUUUUGAGUUUUCUUUUCAUUAUUCUACUUUCUAAUUACAUUUUACAAUGCUUUAACCCCAAAAAAAUAAACACACACUAAAUAGAAAGGCAUACACACAAUCACCUUGUGGUGGCUGGCGGUGGCUAGCUGGUGGUGGUGGUGGUGGUUGUUCUUCGAGAAUUCCGGCCAAAUAACACACAACACCACUUCACUAAAAUUGACACACACACACACACACAUGUGUUUUCUGUUUUCAAAACAAACCCAGCCACCCACCUGGUGGCACACGGAAAUGACGACAGAAAGUAGAAGAACUGGCGGCAGGCGGCGGUGAUUUGCGAUGACAACCACCACCGAAGGCAUUACUUGAUCUUUCGUCCAUCAACAAGUUAACACACGCACAAGCAGAAUAUUCCCGAACCGGUGACGACUUUGUCUUCAACGGAACAGGCAGCAGCGCCACCGGAGUUGAGAUAUAACGUCGACGAGAUGACGACGACAGAAGGAGGAUGGCGGCGUUUCAAUGGCGGAGCUACAUCCAUAGGAGGUAGAAGAAGAUGAUGACGGAAGUGAGGUGGCAGCGGACUCCGAUCACAACUUCAAGGUUCGGUCUCGGCGGCCCAAGACAUCUGGCAGCAGCACUGUGGCAGCAUUCGGUGGUUGAUGACCUCCACAGAGGUGGUGGUGCGGCGCCAGAGUACGAGAGGGUGAAGGUGUCGGUUGGAACCAUUGUCCCCUGGGUCAGGGUUUGAAGUGGGAGGGGUCAUGGGUUAUAUACCCCGAUCCCCCAAACUUACUUCCAUAAUGACAAGUUUUGCCCCUCCCUUCCCUUUUUCUUUCAAUCUUAGCACAAAAUUUACUAUUUAAACCCCACCUUCUAAAAUCCCUUACAAAACAAGUACAAUACUUACCAAACAACCCUCCGUUUUUGAAUUUCUUUGCAAAGCCAGUCCAGAAGUUACCCUUUAAACCCGCACUAUCUCAAUUAUGACAUAUUCAUCCCUUCCACCUCUUUUCCUUUCAAAUUAAAUUUGAAAUUACCUAAAUAGCCCUUCGUCUUCAAAAUCCUUCCAAGUUAAGUCCCAAUAAUUUACCAAGUAGUCCCUAUCUUCAUAAAUAUUUACAAAACCAAUCUAAAACUUACACUUUUAACCCUGAAUGGGGGAGAGUUGGUGAUCCACGGCGAGAGGCCACAGCGUGGGCCCACAGUAUGUUCAGCAGCAAGGGCUAGGCGCUACCUUCAGCAGGGUUGCGCGGGAUAUGUCGCGUACGUUAUGGAUACCCGGGAGGCGGGUAAGGCGACGGUAAACGAGGUUCCAGUGGUGCGAGACUACGCUAAUGUGUUCCCGGAGGAGCUUCCUGGAAUACCUCCGGAGCAUCAGGUAGAGUUCAGGAUCGACCUAGUUCCUGGUGCGGCUCCGAUAGCCAAGGCGCCCUAUCGGUUGGCUCCUCCCGAGAUGCAGGAGUUGUCUACGCAGCUGCAGGAGCUGCUAGACAAGGGAUUUAUUCGACCGAGCAGUUCACCUUGGGGAGCCCCGAUCCUGUUUGUGAAGAAGAAGGACAGGUCGCAUCGGAUGUGUAUUGAUUAUCGGGAGCUGAAUAAGGUAACAGUGAAGAACCGUUACCCACUCCCGAGGAUUGAUGACUUCUUUGAUCAGUUGCAGGGAGCAUCUUGGUUCUCCAAGAUCGAUUUGCGUUCAGGUUAUCAUCAGAUGAGGAUCAGAGAGGAGGAUAUACAGAAGACCGCAUUUCGGACGCGUUACGGCCACUAUGAGUUCGUGGUGAUGUCGUUCGGGCUCACCAAUGCUCCUGCGCCGCGUUCAUGGACCUCAUGAACCGCGUAUGUAGACCGAUGUUGGAUCGGUCUGUGAUAGUUUUCAUUGAUGAUAUCUUGGAUUAUUCCAAGACGCAGGAGGAGCACGAGGAGCAUCUGAGAGAGGUUUUGGAGACCUUGAGGAGGGAGAGCUUGUACGCCAAGUUCUCCAAAUGUGAGUUUUGGUUGCGCGAGGUGCAGUUUCUUGGGCACCUCGUCAACCAGAACGGGAUUUCAGUAGACCCGGCCAAGGUGGAGGCCGUGAUGAGAUGGGAGGUUCCGAAGUCUCCAUCCGAGAUUCGGAGUUUCCUAGGAUUAGCAGGCUACUAUCGGAGAUUCAUUCAGGAUUUCUCCAAGAUAGUCGUACCCCUGACACGGUUGANUAAGAAAGUCGUGGUCUUUCGAUUGGGGCCUGAGCAGCAGACAACAUUUGAGGUUCUGAGACAGAGAUUGUGCGAGGCGCCAAUCUUAGCCCUGCCAGAGGGCGUAGAGGAUUUUGUGGUAUAUUGUGACGCGUCCAUUUCGGGGUUCGGCACGGUGCUGAUGCAGAGAGGUCAUGUCAUUGCCUACGCUUCGAGGCAGCUGAAGCCUCACGAGGCCAACUACUCGACGCACGCUUUAGAGUUGGGGGCGGUGGUCUUCGCCCUCAAGAUUUGGCGACAUUACCUCUAUGGGGUUCGAUGUACCAUUUACACGGACCACAAGAGUUUGAGGUACCUCAUGGAUCAGCCGAAUCUGAACAUGAGGCAGCGUCGGUGGUUGGACGUGGUGAAGGAUUAUGAUUGCGAGAUCCUUUANNNNNNNNNNNNNNNNNNNNNNNNNNNNNNNNNNNNNNNNNNNNNNNNNNNNNNNNNNNNNNNNNNNNNNNNNNNNNNNNNNNNNNNNNNNNNNNNNNNNNNNNNNNNNNNNNNNNNNNNNNNNNNNNNNNNNNNNNNNNNNNNNNNNNNNNNNNNNNNNNNNNNNNNNNNNNNNNNNNNNNNNNNNNNNNNNNNNNNNNNNNNNNNNNNNNNNNNNNNNNNNNNNNNNNNNNNNNNNNNNNNNNNNNNNNNNNNNNNNNNNNNNNNNNNNNNNNNNNNNNNNNNNNNNNNNNNNNNNNNNNNNNNNNNNNNNNNNNNNNNNNNNNNNNNNNNNNNNNNNNNNNNNNNNNNNNNNNNNNNNNNNNNNNNNNNNNNNNGAGCAUCAGAGACCGCACGGCAAGAUGCAGCCGUUAGAUAUCCCGUUGUGGAAAUGGGAAGAUAUUACGAUGGACUUUAUCACAAAGCUACCCAGGACCGCGCGGGGAGUGGAUUCUAUAUGGGUCAUCGUGGACCGGUUGACCAAGAGCGCCCAUUUUAUCCCAAUUCAGGAGAGCAUCUCGGCCAAGAAGUUGACUGACAUUUAUAUCAGGGAGGUAGUGGCGCGGCACGGGGUGCCCGUAUCAGUGAUUUCAGACAGAGAUGUGCGAUUUACUUCCAGGUUUUGGAAGAAAUUCCAUGACGAGUUGGGUACUCGUCUGCAUUUCAGCACAGCUUUUCACCCGCAGACGGAUGGUCAGAGCGAGUGAACCAUCCAAACGUUGGAGGAUAUGUUGCGGGCAUGUGUUCUGGAUUUCGGAGGUAGUUGGGAUACCUACCUAACGUUGGUGGAGUUCUUAUAUAAUAAUAGCUAUCAUGCAAACAUCGAUCGUCCUCCCUUCGAGAUGUUGUAUGGAAGGAGGUGCAGGACCCCGAUAUGUUGAGGAAAGGUUGGCCAGAGAGUCAUGGGAAGCACCGAAGUGGUGCUCCAGACGACAGAGAAGAUCCAGCAGGUCCGGAGUAGGCUCCAGACUGCCCAUAGUCGGCAGAAAAGUUAUGCCGACAAGCACCGUUCAGACUUGGAGUUCCAAGUCGGGGAUAUGGUUCUCCUGAAGGUGUCGUCGUGGAAAGGCAUCAUCUGAUUCAGGAAGCGAGGCAAGUUGGGCCAAAGGUUCAUCGGGCCAUUCAGGGUUAUAGCCCGGGUGGGCAAGGUGGCGUAUAGGUUGGAUCUGCCAACCGAACUCAUCCAGAUCCACAACACUUUCCACGUCUCUCAAUUGCGGAAGUGUUUGGUAGAUGACUCGGCAGUGGUGCCUUUGGAAGAUAUUCAGGUCGAUGACAGUCUGAAUUACAUCGAGCGGCCUGUGGCGAUCCUCGACAGGAAGUCGAAGGAUCUAAGGAACAAGAGGGUGGAACUCGUGAAGGUGCAAUGGCAGCACCGAAAGGGAUCGGAGUGGACUUGGGAGCCGGUGGAGGAUAUGAUGGAGCAUUACCCCGAGUUGUUUCAGGAUCGAGCAACAGACUUCGAGGACGAAGUCUGAAAUAAGUGGGGGAGAUUUGUAGCACCUGGUUCCUGGUACGUAUUUCUUGUGGCUAAUAUUUUAAUNUUUAAUUUUAUUAUUGCCUUGGACUCGGCGAGUUGAAGGACCAUCUCGUCGAGUAGGAGCCAGAUAAGGCACGGGGUUUGAACUUUGUACUCGGCGAGUCGGUCCCCGGACUCGGCGAGUAGACCGUGUUUGGACAAAAACCCUAAUCCGGCCGUUUGCACCCUAUUUAAACGCUCUAACUUGGCCUCUUCGGUCCCUAACACUUCCAGAGAGCUGUAGAGAGAAACCCUAACCCCCAUAUUGUUCUUAAGAGUGAUUUUGGCCUUGUGGAGAAGGAUUGGAGCUUAGAGAAAGGAAGAAGAGGUUGAAGUAUGCAAGGAGGGGAGGUAGAUCCGGGAUCUACACUGUGAGAAGCUUCCAUUCAGGUAGAAAAGUUCUUACCUUGAUCAUUAGUUCAUUCGAUCCCCUUUUUGUCCCAAAUUAAUGGUUUCAAGCCCUAAAACUUUAAAUUCCAUGUGUUUAUGCUUUAAGUUCUGAAAGGACUUCAGAUUGGGACCUUAUGGACAUCCUAGAAGUAUAAAGUCUCUGUGGUUGGGGUUAUUGAGGUCCCUAUUGAGUAUAUGACCCCUUAAGAAGCUUGGAAUUGCCUUCUUGAGCUCAUAGGGCCAUGCAUGCACAUAAAGUUUGCAACUUUACGUGAUAAGCUUGCCCUAGGAGCUUAGAUCUAUGGGUUAGAAGCGUUGCAUGUCUCAGUUUUGGUCUUUAUGGGAAGUGGGUCGUAGGAACUCGGCGAGUCCCAAAGUGGAACUCGACGAGUUCUAUGAAGAUGGUCUUAGACUCGGUGAGUUGGUAGAACAACUCGACGAGUCCUAUGAAGAUUGCCUGGAACUCGCCGAGUUGUUCUUCAAACUCGGCGAGUCAUAUGAACUUUCAUUGAGUAAGAAGGGAUUUAAGUGUUGAAGGUCCAACCCUUCGUAUCUGCACGAGGGGUCAACAGGGUAACGUAGUCCCAAAACCCCAAAUCCUCUUGCGGAUGUUCUGGUGAGGAUUGGAAGCGAGUGGGGGACCUGCUCGUGGAACUCGGCGAGUUGCUCUCGGACUCGGCGAGUCGGACCACGAGUCGGUUCCAUAGUCCCGAGUAGUGAGUCAAGGGUGACUCAGUGAGUGGAAAGAGGGACUUGGCGAGUAUGACCGGGUUAGUAAGAGAAGGACUCGGCGAGUCUGUGCCACGACUCGACGAGUCCAGUCAAUUGGAAGUUGACUUUGACCAAGAGUUGACCUUGGACCAGGGAUGGGUCAGUCAAUUGACCUAAGGGUAUUUAUGAGUGGCAAUCUAUGUUUAUGGGUUUGUAGCCGGAGGAUUACCGGUGCAGCAGCCAGACGUCUAGCGGUCAGACCUUCGGUAACUACUCUUUGAGGUGAGUUUCCUUCCAGUAGUAACGGGUCUAAGGCACCAAGGUCGGCCCGUAUAGACGAGAUGUUAGUAUUAGAGUGUGGGUCGAGCCCGUAUCUCUUGGUUGAGUUGAUUAUGAUAUAUGCCAGUAUGAUAGAAUUGUCUAUACUUGUUAUCUGUGUGAUAAUUGUAUAUUAUGGGUUAGCAGUUGAGUGUGGGCGAGGCCCGUAUCUCUCUGAAAGUGGAGUGUGGGCGAGGCUCGUAUCUCCCAGAUAGAGGAGUGUGGGCGAGGCCCGUAUCUCCCAGAUAGAGGAGUGUGGGCGAGGCCCGUAUCUCCCAGCUAGCAGAGUGUGGGCGAGGCCCGUAUCUUCAUGAGUGUGGGCGAGGCCCGUAUCUCCUAGUUGUUCAUUGUAUGUUUGUAUGGUAUGAGGUAUUAUGGGGGGAACUCACUAAGCUUCGUGCUUACACUUUUCAGUUUUGGUUUCAGGUACCUCUUCUUCGAAGGGGAAGGAGCUGGCGUGGUAGCGGCCCAUCACACACAUGCCUCGUAUUCCGCACUAUGAGAUCUUCUUGGGGAUUUGUACUCUGAAAUUUAUUAUAUUUUAUGAAAAAUUUUCCAGACAUGUGAUAUCUUUUAUGAAAUGUUAUGAUCGGUGAACGUUUUAUUUCUAAUGUUUUACUAAGUAUAUGUUUUAAAAAUGAAAAUUUUGCUCGUAUUUUUGGGACGUUACAGAAGAAGAGAGAGAGAGAAAGAGAGAGAGAGAGAGAGAGAGAGAUAGAAAGAGAGUUGCAUGGAUGUAUGGGAUGUUGCAUGGGAAUCCACAAGGUAAUGAGGAGGUGGCUAACCCUACUUAUUUCACUAGUUUUUUUUUCUUCUUGGGCCGAGAAAAGAGAAAAUAUAUAAGAAGAUUUUUGGGCCUUGCAUGCUUAAGCCCAUAUCAUGAUCUAAUUAGAUGAUUUUUGGCCCAAUUAGUCUUGGGAGAGGGUUCACGGCCUAAAUAAAUCAAGUAUAAGUUUUUAUGGUCCAUUAGGGCUAAUUAGGUUAGUUAUGGCCCAAUAAGGUCCAUUAAGGUAAUUUAUUUCAUUCUAGGCCCAAAAUAUCAAAAUAAAUGGAAGUGGGUCCAAUUAGAGCCCAUUUAAGAGUUCUAAGCCCAAGAUAGUCAAAUUGGAAACUUAUUGGCCCAUUAGGCCCAAUAAGGAAGUCCUAGUUUAAAAUGGACUUAAACUGGGAUUUCUAGGGUUUCCAAUUCUUUGUUGACUAUUUGAUGUGCUUGUAUAAAGUGCUUGAUGGGUGUUUUGCUGUUAUUGAAUAAACAUCGUACAUGCUUUCACAUUUUUGGUUCACAUUUGUUAUCAUUGUUGUUGUUAUAAAGCAUCAAAAUUCCUAGUUGUGACAUAGGGUUUGCACCCUAUUUAAGCAACAUUAUGGGCCUUUAUUCCGGCCUCCAUCACCUCCAAAGCAUUAAUACCGAAACCCUAAUCCUUCAUAAGUGAACUUUAGCUUUCUUGGUUAUUUUGAGUGUUAUUUGGUGUAUCUUGAAGCUAGUGGAAGAUAGAAGACUCAAGGGAGAAGGAGUAGAUCCAUGAACUACACCCCAUUUGCCAUCUUUUCUGGUAAUCAAGCUUCCAACUUGAUCUUCUUUCGCUUAGAUCUAUUUGCCCCCAUAUUAAGAAGGUUUUGGCUCAAAAACCUUGGUCCUUGGUGUUGGGACGUCCCAAGUGGUUCAUAACUCAGAUCUAGGUCCUAGGAAGGGUUACUUGGCAUAAAGGUGCAAACAUUAUGGCCAUGAGAGCCCCAUGCAUAUUGUAGACCUCAUUUUUGGGUCUUUUGAUCUUAAGGACCCAUGCAUGGAUGUAAAGUUCUUAACUUUACUUGUUAUAUCAACCCUAAGAGGCCAUAUCUACCCUUUGGAUGAGAUGAGCUCAACAUAAAUCGAGUUUAUGGUCAUAGACUUUAGGGGACUCGGCGAGUCGUUCUUGGGACUCGGCGAGUCGUUCUUGGGACUCGGCAAGUCGGGGAUUGGCUCCCCAACCUUUGCUAUUUCUGAGGAAUCUGGUUGAGUCUAGAAUAGGGACUCAACAAAAUGGACGUGAUUAGGGACCUGGAAAUCAUCGGACUCUGCGAGUGUGUGAGCAACUCAAUGAGUCCAAGGCAAUCUCCCAACCCAUGAAGACGGACUCGACGAGUUGUUCAUAUAACUCAGCGAGUCAUAGACUGGACACAUUCAUAUGAUGAAGAUGAACUUGAUGAGUUAAAUGAUGAACUCGGUGAGUCGGUUGAAGAUAGUCCUGAUGUUAUGGUUGAAGGAGAACUCGUCGACUUCUUGCUAGACUCGACGAGCAGAGUCGAGGAUGGAGUCAUUUCGAAAGGAUAGGGACUCGACGAGUUGGUGGACUAACUCGGCGAGUCAAGUAAACUGGAGGUUGACUUUGAUCAGGACAUUGACUUUGGCCAACGGUAAAAUGGUCAUUUUACCCUAAGAGUAGUUAUCAGUUUUUGACUAAGUGUCCUUAUGGAAUUUAUAGUCGGGGACUCACCGGAACAGCUGGCGGGGAUUUCUCGUUCAGAUUUCAGCAGACAAUCAACUUUACGAUGUGAGUUUUCCUUCGAUAGGAAUGGGUCUAAGGAACCAAUGUCGGCCCGUUUAAGUAGUUAUAGUAUGUCGGGGUUAGCCCGAUGCAGUUUAUAUCUUUCCGGACUUCGGUCCGAUGUCGGGGUGGUCCCGAAAAGUAGUCACGAAUGCUUGAUGUCUUUGUGAUACACGCAUGUUUAUGUUAUGUGUUAUAUGUUCCGGACUCUGUUCCGAUGUCGGGGUGAGCCCGAUUCCCGAUGCGGUCGGAUGCCGAGAUGAGCCCGAUGUUGGACAGGAGUCCGAUGUCAAGUAAGCCGAUGCUGGGAUUUGUCCCGAUGCAGUUGGGAGUAGUCCCAGAGUUAUGUUAGUUGUUAUAUGCCAAGUGUAUGGUAUGUGGUAGUUUGGGGGAGCUCACUAAGCUUCGUGCUUACAAUUUCGGUUUUGGUUGUAGGUACUUCAGCUAGUAAGGGGAAGGGCUCGGGUUGAUGGCAUGGCAAACACAACAGUUCUUUAGCCUGGGAGAUUACUCUGAUAUUUCAUAUAAGAUUGUGAUAUGUUGACAGAUAUUAUGACAUUUUAGACACAUGAGUUAUGAUUUGAUAUUAUGGUGAUGAUGUUUAUGUUUAUUAACUGAUUUUGAAAACGAAAUUUUUGGACCAUAUUUUUGGGAUGUUACAACCAGCUUUCCCAUCAAUAUGUGUUGAGAUUCUUUACUUUCAGUUUCUUUCUUCUCUCUAAUCUUUGUAUGUUUUUAGUACAUUUUUGUAAUCAAUCUAUGUAUUUAUAUUGAUUUUUUAUGCCCCUCAUUAUGUCUAUUUAUUUACAUUUUCCUACCAAAAUCCAUGUGUGACAUCCCCAACUUCACGACCAAAAAAGACAGAUUUCGUUUAUGCUUUUAAAAUAAAAUCAGAGUAAUCUUUCAAAAAGUAUUGCGGAAUUUGUCCCCAAAACAAAAUAUAAUAAAAAUAUUUAUCAAAACAUUUCUUAAAGAAAUGUAUUUUCAUUUCAUUACAAAACUCGGGAUGUCCACAUCGAUACAGACCAAAAGCAUAAAUUGAACAAUAUAGGCCUUUCAACAGUUAUUUACAUCUAUUGGCCUAUAAUCCAAAAUCCAUCGGCAUCAUCCAAAUAUUCUCUUGUUCCACUACCUAUAAUACAGAAAGAUGAGUGGGUCAGGCUCGGGAGCCUGGUGAGCAUAUAUGAUGUUCAACCCACAAAUAAUAAUAAAUUUUUUAAUUUCAUUAGCCAAUAAUAAAUUUAUUAAUUUCAUCAACCAACAAUAACCCUGAUUACCCUUUCCCGUUAUCCUCACUUUACGUCCCUAAACACUUAUCCUAAGGGACCUAGCCUAAAGAUCAUAAUCGGGAUGGACACUACGGCUAAGGGGAUUCCUCAACCAUACAUGUCCUUAAGGCAACCAUGAGGGGGAUGGAGUACACCAAUGAACAUCUAGUUCACCAACACCUACAGAUCGCUAGCCUUCUAGUGUUCCACUGGACUGUCUAGAAAUGUCUGUGGUCGUCAUCUAUACUCCGCUAGAUGACUACAACAUCAACAACAACAUCGAGGUCUCUCAUCAUUUUAACACACAUCAACUAUUUCAUCUACCCAGGUUUUACCCAACAUAUUUGUAGAUAAAAAUACAUAUACAGUUUAAAACUUGUAUAAAACAUUUAUUCAGCACCCAUCUAAAAUAAACAAACAAUAUAAUUACACAUAGCACGUAUUUUAUAGAAAAUACUUCAUAUCUAUGUGUAAGAUGAAAGUGACUACACACUCACAUGAUUUAACGAUAAUCGAGCAACACUUCGUUUCUUAAAAUGAUCAUUUCCGAUGAAACCGGGAGCUUUAAUGAAAAAAAAUCGGGCCUUGCAAAGGUUGAGCUUCAAACCGAAAAGAUAAAUUUCUCGGGUUCUUUGGGUACUUCGAAGCGUUCUUUGGGUGUUGGGUAUGAUAUUGGGGCUUCGGGGGGUUAUAAGGAAGUUUAGGGAGGUGAAAGAAGUGAAAGAGGAUGAAAAAUGGUGUAAAAGUGGUGUAGGAACCGGGAGGGUUCGCACCUCCUUUUAUACCCUGCGAGGUUCGGAUCCGAGGGAAGGAGGGAGGACAUGUGGCAUCUUCGCAGGCAAGGGGGAGGGCUACGCGUCGGACAGGAGGCGAGACACGCGUCUCGGUUCGGAUGCCUCCACCGCGAUGACACGCAUCAGAUCGCAAUUGGGCCGCGCAUUCGGAUGAAUCAGCAGGUGGACACGGGGCAGGCUCGCAUGCGAGGCGACGUGGCCGAACCCUGGCCUUGUGCAUGCGAAAAUUCUCGGUUUUUGUGCCCCGAUUUUCAAAAAUUCAUAGUUUUCGCAUACGAGCUCCUUUUUUGACGUUCUAUAUACUCUACAACUUUCGUUUAGACUCCGCCGACUAAUUUUGAAUUUAUUUUUAAUAUUAUUAUUUUUAACAGACCGGGACAGGAAAAUCCGUUUAAAAUUCAUAACUUCUUCAUCCGAUGUCCGUUUUCGUCUGGCUUUUUACCGUUAUACUACUAUUGACGAGACCUUCGACUCUCAUUUAGGUUGUGUCAGCUAAAAGUCACUCGAUCUAAAUUUCGAGUUUUUAGUUGUCUACUGCUAAGCUGAAACUUAAAAAAUCAUAAUUUCCUCAUACGAAGUUAGAUUCGGGCAUUCUUUUUAUGCACGCUCUCGGUUUACCGAACACUACGACUUUCGUUUAAAUCGCUAAGGCUAAAAAGCACUUUAUCAUAAAUUCAUUUGUUACGUCACACAACGUCAUGCCGUUUUUUUCGCGAAACUUCGACAGGUCAUAACUUCUUCGUUAUAACUCGGAUUUCGGUAUUCUUUAUAUAUUCGGAAUCCUUAUUUCAACCACUACAACUUUCUUCAUAGAUAUAGUUGAAUACAAGUGAUAACAAGUUGAUUCGACUCAUAAACUUCAGAUAAUUUAUUCAAGAUCUAAGAGGCUUUAAAUAGCGAUUACACAUAAACAAAACCGGAAAAAGCUAAGAAAUCAAACAAACUACCAUAUCCCUAAUUCUCUGUUCAACGCAAGAAAGAUAAGGUAAGAAGAUAUGACUUGGUAAAAGGGAUUACCAAGUCGCAUGGACAAAUGACAUAGGCCUUAUUAAACGGACUCAAAUAAACGUAGGCUAACCCAAUCAUAAGAUCAUCCCAAUAAAUUCCUUCCCUUAAACAAGUAAGCAUUAAGCUUCUUGUUUAACAUCUUGCACUCCAAUUUCCUUCCUGAUCAUCUCAAAUGCAUUCAGCGACAAUGGCUUAGUCAUGAUGUCUGCUAGCUGCUCUUUUGUUCUACAGAAUUUUAGUUGGAUGAUAUCUUUAUUCACCAAUUCUCUGAUGAAAUGAAAACGACGUCUAUAUGCUUUGUUCUUCAAUGCAUUACUGGGUUCUUUGACAGCUUUAUGGCUGAACAGUUAUCACACAUAACCUUCAAUGUUCCAGUUUUUUCUUUAAGUUCUUUGAGUAACCCUUUCAGCCAUACAUAAAGACAUGCACAUGUUGUAGCCGCAACAUAUUCAACUUCCUUUGUUGACAAGGUGACCACUUCUUGCUUACGUGAGCUCCAACAUAUUGCAACUCUACUGAACAAGCAUAAAUAACCAGAAGUGCUUUUUCGGUCCUCUAGAUCGCGUGCAUAAUUGCUAUUAGUGAACACCCUCAACUUCUGACUUUCAUCCUUCCCAUAGUGCAACCCAUAAUUUAUAGUAGGGAUGAGCAUCGGAAUCGGGUACCCGCUUUUGGAACCGGAACUGCCGGUUUUGGAAUUGGAACCGCUUAAAGCGGUCCCGGUUCCUAAAGUUACGGAACCGCCUUAAGCGGUUCCGGUUCCGGUUCUCGUUUUUUCGAAACCGCUACCCGCCAGAACCGAUAUANNNNNNNNNNNNNNNNNNNNNNNNNNNNNNNNNNNNNNNNNNNNNNNNNNNNNNNNNNNNNNNNNNNNNNNNNNNNNNNNNNNNNNNNNNNNNNNNNNNNNNNNNNNNNNNNNNNNNNNNNNNNNNNNNNNNNNNNNNNNNNNNNNNNNNNNNNNNNNNNNNNNNNNNNNNNNNNNNNNNNNNNNNNNNNNNNNNNNNNNNNNNNNNNNNNNNNNNNNNNNNNNNNNNNNNNNNNNNNNNNNNNNNNNNNNNNNNNNNNNNNNNNNNNNNNNNNNNNNNNNNNNNNNNNNNNNNNNNNNNNNNNNNNNNNNNNNNNNNNNNNNNNNNNNNNNNNNNNNNNNNNNNNNNNNNNNNNNNNNNNNNNNNNNNNNNNNNNNNNNNNNNNNNNNNNNNNNNNNNNNNNNNNNNNNNNNNNNNNNNNNNNNNNNNNNNNNNNNNNNNNNNNNNNNNNNNNNNNNNNNNNNNNNNNNNNNNNNNNNNNNNNNNNNNNNNNNNNNNNNNNNNNNNNNNNNNNNNNNNNNNNNNNNNNNNNNNNNNNNNNNNNNNNNNNNNNNNNNNNNNNNNNNNNNNNNNNNNNNNNNNNNNNNNNNNNNNNNNNNNNNNNNNNNNNNNNNNNNNNNNNNNNNNNNNNNNNNNNNNNNNNNNNNNNNNNNNNNNNNNNNNNNNNNNNNNNNNNNAAAAGGUUGAGAACGCGAGAACAGUUCUGGACCAAUCAAUAUAUAAGGGCAUAUUAGUAAUUAUAUAUUUUAAUUAAAUUAAAAUAAAAUAAAAUCAAUCAAAUUCCCUUAAAUUUAGGAUCAGUUACCAAAAAAGAAGGAAAUAUUUGAUUUUUUAUUUUUCUUAUUAAUGAAAUAUAAAAAAACAUUUUUAUCAAAAAAAAUUAAAAAAUUAAAAAAAAAAUCUCCUGAUUCACCUCUUUUUUUUUUUCAAAAAAAUUAAUAGAAAUCCAACCCCGAAUCAAUACAUUUGUAUUCAUAAACAAUUUUUUUUUCAAAAAAACUAAUACUACUACAAUCACAAAUGAAUACAUACCAAUUUACAAGUAAUCCAAUUCGUUUCUUUUAAUCAACCGAAAAUAAAAUGGGUGUAAAAAUUAUCAUUUCUUCAUAAAAGAAUACCUUUGAUCAUAAAUAAUUACACUUAUUCACACAUGAUUACACUGCUAUUUACAAAUGAAUACAUUGUUAUUAGCAAAUGAAUACCUUGGUAUUCACAAAUGAAUAAAAGAAUACCUCUAAUCAUAAAUAAAUACACUCAUUCGCACAUGAUUACACUGUUAUUCACAAAUGAAUACAUUGUUAUUAACAAAUGAAUACCCUGCUAUUCACAAAUGAAUACCUCUCUCACGCAUUUCAUCAAACAGCUUAUGUGCACAACUUUUUACCUUGAAUCUGAUUAUAGCUUUGUGUGGCUAUCUCUUCCAUCAAUUAUAAGGGCUGGUAUGAGAUCAAUUAGAACCAAGAAGUAUAGGGUUGGUGUGAAAAUGAAGAACAGUGGUCUAGAAUUCACCUAGAAAAAUGAAGAACAAGGAAAGUUAAAAUGAAAGUGGCAAACCGAGGAGAGCUUUCUGGGGCGUGUGUAAUGAUGCUCUUAAUAAAUCGACUUACAUGUGUAGUUAUGAUGUUUAUCACAAGAAAUCGGUGAAUCAACAAAGAUGGAGUGACGUUGAUGAUAUCCUCCUGGAGCAACCGAAUUGUUACAGGUUGUGUGUUGAUUAUGUGAAAAUGGUAGGCUGAAGUCGAUGUGGCGUAGUCUGCGUAGAUGGGUAGCGAUGGUGCGAUGGAGUGUAGUUAAGAAGAUGAAAGUAGAUGCGUGAUGAAGAUGAAUGAUUUCUUGGUUCUAAUUCAUCUCCAUUUACACGCCCCAGAAAGCUCUCCCUAGAUUGAAUAAUUCUCUGUUUUUUUGGUUCUCCCCUAUGUCUGCCCAUUUAAGAGAAAAUGAAAUCUAUUGUUGUUGAAAUCAUGAAGAUCCAAAGAGGGAAGCAUCCAUGUGAAUGACCACGUUUAGACUAAGGAGGAGGCUCGAUGGUGGCUGUGCGAUGGUUGACAAUGGAGGAUGGCAGAAAACGAUGAACGAAAACAAUUGUGAAGAAGGUGGGGGUGUGCGCUGAUUUUUUUCAAAAUAAUUAGAUUAUGGUUUUCUAGUUAAGUAGAGAGAGAGAGAGAGAUAGAGAAAUUAUAGGAAUUUCUAUUUAAUUAAAUUAUAUGGAUUUCCUAUUGUACCCUUCUUGCCAUUUCAAAGUUACAUAUUUAGCACAUCAGUUUUAUAAAUAUUCAUAAAUGAUCCAUUUAAUAAUAGUCAUAGAUCUAAUUAUUUACAAGGUUGUGAUCUGUUCUCGCGUUCUCAACCUUUUAGGUGUUCUCAUUUAUAUAUAUAUAUAUAUNNNNNNNNNNNNNNNNNNNNNNNNNNAUAUAUAUAUAUAUAAUUUCAUAUAAACAUGUGUGUUACUUAGACCGAUUUAGAAUAUAUUGGUCCGAUUUUGUCCGUCUUUGGUCCGAAUUGAUUUGAUUUGGAUCGAACUAAAUUGCGGUUUUAUCAACAAAAGUUAAAAAAAAUUAAUGUAACCGGGUCACCCACUCCUGGAACCGGAACCGCCGGCUCCGGGACUAGUUCCAAACAUUUAAGAAUUGCCUAGAAAGUUAGAACCGUCGGUUUCGGUUCUAACUUUCUAGGAACCGCCGGUUCCGGUCCCGGUUCUCGCCAAAUGAAGCGAGUACCCGCCUAUGCUCAUCCCUAAUUUAUAGUUCCCUUUAUAUACCUUAAUACUCGCUUUGCCACAACCAUGUGUUCCUCUUUUGGUUUUGACAUAAAUCUAGCUAACAAGCUGACGACAUACAUCAAAUCUAGACGUGUCACUGUUAAGUACAUGAGACUUCCUAUGAGACUCAUAUACUUGGUGUUGUCCACGUCCUUCCCUGCUGUAAGCUUCAUAAGUUUUGUACUCGGAACAAUUGGAUUCUUCACCCCGUUUGCUUCCCACUUUCUGAAACGCUUUAGGACUUCUUUUGCAUAUUGUGAUUGACACAAUGUGAUACCUUCUAAAUUCUGGUUAACUUCCACUCCAAGAAAAAAUUUCAUCUUCCCUAGAUCGGUCAUUUCAAAUUCACGUUGCAUAGAUUUUUUAAAUGACUCACACAUCACUGGAUCGUUCCCAGCAUAAAUUAAAUCAUCAACGUAUAAGCCAACAAUGAUGACCUUAUCAUGCACCUUCUUUACAAAUAGUGUGUGAUCAUGACUACUUUUCUUGAACCCUUCACAUAUGAAAUAACCUUCUAUCCAAUUAAACCAAGCUCAGGGAGCUUGCUUUAAUCCGUACAGUGCACGCUUUAACAUGUACACCUUAGCUUCUUCUCCUUUCUUUAUGAACCAUUUUGGUUGAGUGACAUGAACUACCUCAUUGAGCUCACCAUUUACAGGGGCGAACAGUUCAUUAUAAUCUACACCUUCGCGUUGGGCAUAUCCUUUGACUACUAAUCUGGCUUUGUAUUUGUCAACCUUUCCAAGUUCAUUGAGUUUUGUCUUAUAUACCCAUUUUACCCCUAUAGGUUUGGUUCCAGUUGGAGGGUCAACUAAUUCCCAUGUAUGGUUUCUUUCUAUAACAGCUAUCUCAGCAUUCAUUUCUUGUACCCAUUUGUCAUCUUUGCAGGCUUCUUCAUACGUUACCGGAUCAUCUGUGGCACUAUACAUAGCGAGACCGGCUUCGUCUUCAUUGAACAUGUCUUGAUCUGUGUGAUACUCAUUCAUCCACACAGGUGGUCUUCGAGUACGAGUGGAUGUCUCAGGUUGUGAAGUUAAUGUGCUUUGAUCCCGCACAUCUCCUGAAGUAGCCGAGAUAGCCGAGACAGAGCUGUUAGGAUCUUCAUGUGUAUUUUCAGUUUGGGACAUUCCUUGAACUGGUGUGCUUGCUUCAAUUUCAGAGUCUUGUGUUGAGUUUGGAGGACUUUGUAGUUCUUCUGAAUUAUCAUCCUCAUGUUGAUUUUCUUGUACUUGUUCAUCAUCUUCUACAAUUAGCUCUUGUACUUUCUGGUUCUCCUUAGACCAAUCCCAAGCCGAUUCUUCACUAAUACCUAGAAAUACACACUUAAGGCUUCUUGCAUCUAGUUUUGUUCGUAAUUGAGCAGGUAUAUGGGCAUACCCUAUACAUCCAAAUACCUUAAAAUGUUGAACACUUGGUUUUAACCCUGUCCAGAACUCCUCUGGUACCUUUUCAUCAAGGCUCCUGCUUGUACACAUGUUUAAUACAUGACAUGACCAUCUUGCUGCUUCCGGCCAAAAAUAUGUAGGCAUAGUUUUUUCUAAUAACAAGCAUCGAACCAUGUUUAUUAAGGUCCGAUUUCGUCGCUCUGCAACCCCAUUUUUAUGUGGGGUGUAGGCGGCUGUAAGUUGUUUUUUAAUGCCUUGAGCUUCACAAAACUCAUUGAAAACAUUUGAAGUGAACUCACCACCCCUGUCACUUCUCAAACACUUGAUAUUCAUGCAAAUUUCCUUUUCUACAGAUCUUUUAAAACUCUUAAACAGCUCAAAACUUUCAUUUUUCCGAGACAGAAAAUAAACCCAGGACUUUUGCGUGUAGUCGUCGAUGAACACAAGUAUGUACCUCCUUCCACUGGUUGAGGCAGGAGUGAUGGGACCACAUAAGUUUGUGUGUAUCAACUGCAGUUUCUUUGUAGCAUGCCAGUCACUCUUCUUGGGUAUUGCCUCCUGUGACAUCCCCAAAAUCUCGGUCAGAAAAGACCGAUUUUCAUUUAUGCUUUUAAAUAAUUUCAGAGUAAAUCCUUUUGAUUUGAAAGAGUUGCGGAAUUUGUUCCCAAAAACAAAACAUGAUAAAACAAUGUUUACCAAAGCAUUUCAUAAAAGAAAUGUAUUUUCAUUAUAUAAUAGAAACUCGGGGUGUCAUGUUCCGAUACAGACCAAUAAGCAUAAACGAUAACAUUACAAGUCAUUCAACAAAUAUAUAUACAUAUACAGACUUGUAAACAAAACAACUUGAUGGUUCAUCCAUCUUAUGCCCUCGCGCCAUUUCCUGUAAUACAAAUAAAUCUGAGUGGGUCAGGCUUGGGAGCCUGGUGAGCAUAUAGGGUUUUCAACCCAUAAUAAAUAAUUAUAUUUAAUUUCCACCAACCAACAAUAACCCAAUUACCCAUUCCCGUUAUUCUCACUUUAUGUCCCUAAGACAACUAACAUAAGGGAACUAGUCUAAGAAUAUUUCAUCGGAGCGACAACACAUGCUUCGGGGGUUCCUCAGCAAUAUAAGUCAAAUAAGGCAACCAUGAGGGGGAUGGAGUACAGCGAAUGAACACCCAAGUUCAUUAACACCUACAGGUGGCGAACCUGCUAAUGUUUCCACAAGACUAUCUAGAAAAGUCUGUGGUCGUCAUCUAAACUCCGCUAGAUGACUAAAUCAAACAACAACGAGGCCUCUCAUCUGUUUAUUACACACCAACUAUCUACCCAUGUUCUACCCAACAUAUUAGUAGAUAAAAAUAUACAUUUGUAUACAUAGUUUAAAAACCUGUAUAGCAUGCUUUAAUCAAUACAUAUUCCACAUAACAGAUGAGGCACACACACACAAAACGUAUUUCAUAGAGAAUAAAUCAGAUCUAUGAGAUAGAAGAGAGUGAAUAUACAUUCACACAUAUAACAAAAAAUAUACACAUAACACGUAUUUCGUAUAAAAUACUUUAUAAUUAUGCGUUAGAAGAAAGUAACCACACACUCACUUGAUUAGAAGAUGAUCGGACAGCACUACGACUUGCAGAAGUAGUAUUCCUCAGCAGAUCUGGAAGAUCUCCUCAAAAAUCGAACUUCUCGCGGGCAGAGCUUCGGCUCGGGAACCGCACUUCUCGGGAUCUUCGGGAUCUCGGGACUUGCUUCGGGGCUCGAGAAUAAUACCGGGGCUUCGGGGUAUUUCUGGCACGCAAAUCGAUGCAAAACGGGAGAGAGAAGAGAGAAAAUAGCAAAAGAACUCGGCUGCCCUCGCAUCCUAUUUAUAGGAGGCUGGAGCCUCGGAGUACGCGGGGCGUACUGCUCCGAAAUCGUCAUUGCUUACGUAUCCGAAGUGCUCGAGUGCGAGUGUCGACAUCCCUCGGUGUACGCGGGGCGUACUUCGGAUCAGAUCGGUGACUCCUUCGGAUAAUGCUUCCGAAUUUUGAAUUAAAAAUAAAUACAAAAUGAUUAAUAAACUUCGGAAAUUCAUAACUUCUUCAUACGAACUCCGUUUUCGACGUUCUUUAUAUCCACGCGAAGGUGAGACUACGCUCUACAACUUUCGUUUAGACUCCGUCGGCUAAUUUUGACUUUAUUUUUAUUAUUUAUUUUUAAUAGGCCGGGACAGAAAAACUUCGUUAUAAAUUCAUAACUUCUUCGUUUGACGUCCGUUCUCGCCUAACUUUUCAUCGCUUCGAUACCAACAACGAGACCUUCGAUCCUCGUUUAGAUUGCUUCGGCUAAAAACCGCUCGAUCUCAAAUCGAGUAUUUCGGGUUGCACACCGCUGAGCCGAAACUUCGAUAAAUCAUAACUUCUUCAUACGAAGUCAGAUUUGGGCGUUCUAUAUAUAUUCGGAAACCUCGUUUCAACUACUACAACAUUGUCCAAAGAUAUCAAGUUUAUUUUACACUUAAAUUUUGACGCUUAUUUUUAUUCUUAAUUAAUCAAACCACAUAAUUAAGCAAUUAAGCACAAAACACAUAAUACUCAAAUAAUAUAUUUCUAUUAUUUCAAAAUGGGUUACAAAGGUUAACCUAGACUAUUACAUUGCUAAAAAUGGCAAACCCGGAAACACAGGCGUUACACCUCCCUGUGUUGUUUUCCAAUAGCACAAAUUUCACAUACAACAUGCUUUUCAACGACUGAGGGCAGUGCUUUCACCAUUUGUUUGUACAACAUGGUCCUAAGUGUCUUGUGGUUGACGUAUCCAAAUCUCUUAUGCCAAAGUUAGGUCUUUGAAUCAUCUCUAACUUGUAGACAUUCCAAUUGUUGAGGUUGAAAUGAAACAUACAAGGGAAACAUCCUGUUCUUUGUCAUGUUGGGUGAUAUGAUCAAACCCUUUUGAGGAUGAAGACCAUACAAAUACCACCUUGAAUGACAAAAGUUAAGGAUUUUUCUUGAAGUUGUCUAACACACAUGUGGUUUGAUGUUACUAAUGGUACAUAGUAGACAUUUGUUAUCACCUGUGUCAUACCAUUCACAAUGAUACGGACAUCACCCUUUCCUUUGACUUCCAACUUGUGGUCAUUUCCUAGUCUGACCUUGUGUUGAUAUGUCUCAUCAAUAUGAAUGAACCACUCUUUGACUCUUGUCAUAUGAUUUAAGCAAGCUGAGUCCAGAAACCAAAAUGCCUCCUUAUCAUGCUUACCCCCUUUCAUUGUUGCAUUUAACAUUUUGGUUUCCUUUUCGUAUUCCUCAAUAUCAACAGAAGUCAUCAAUAAAAUUUCUUCAUUAUCUUCAAAUUCUGCAUAGUUUACCUCUCAGAUAUCAUUUGGACAUUCAUAUUGGAAAUGCCCUAAUUGGUGGCAUUUGUAACAUUCAAUCUGAGACUUGUCAAAUGUUGGUCUGUUCUCGUUUUAGGAUCUUCCUUGGCCACGUCCUCUGCCUCUGUUUGAGUUUCCUCUACCUCGACCUCUUCCACAUCCUGUAUUUUGAUCGCUUUCAACUUUUAGGACUUGUUCAUCGUUCACCUUUCUUCUGAUUUUUUGUUCAUGGAUCAGCAAUGUGCUUUGAAGUUCAUCUACUGUCAUGGUAUCAAGAUCCCUUGAUUCUUCUAUCGUACAGACCACGAAGUUGAAACUUUCUCGCAUGGUUCUCAGUACUUUUUUUUACAAUUUUCACAUCAAUCAUAUCUUCACCAGCAUUCCACAUAUCAUUCGAAAUGAUCAUGACACGUCCAAGGUAAUCGGUUGCUGUUUCUCCAACGUCUCGAAGUCUCUACGGAGUCAUUGCAGUUGAGCUCGCUUUACCCUAGCAUUACCCUGGUAUUUAAGCCUCAUAGCAUCCCAUAUCUGUUUAGAUGUUUGCUUCUGUUGGAUUGUCUUUAAAAUCGAUUUGUCUAUUGAUUGGAACAAAUAAUUGCAGGCUUUUAGGUCUUUAAGCUUUUCCUCAUAAUUUUUUUGUUGAGUCGAUGUUGCCUGCUCCCCUGGCCUGGUACCCCUCGUCUACUACUUGCCAAUAUUCUUUUGAUCGGAGAAGAGUUUCCAUUACCAUGCUCCAAUGAUCGUAUUCUCCGUCGAACUUAGGUACACUGGGACCAUGAAACUGUCUUGUUUCUUCCCCCAUAGCAACGAUCUGUUGAGUAUUCUUGUGAAUGGGAUUGUGCUCUGAUACCACUUGUUGAAUACAAGUGAUAACAAGUUGAUUUGACUCACAAAACUUCAGAUAAUUUAUUCAAGGGCUAAGAGGCUUUAAAUAGCCAUUACACAUAAACAAAACCAGAAAAAGCUAAAAAAAUCAAACAAACUACCAUAUCCCUAAUUCUCUGUUCAACACAAGAAAGAUAAGAUAAGAAGACAUGACCUGGUAAAAUGGAUUAACAAGUCACAUGGGCAAAUGGCAUAGGCCUUAUUAAACAGACUCAAAUAAACGUGGGCUAACCCAAUCAUAAGAUCAGCCCAAUAAAUAUCAGGUUCGUCUAACAUUUAUUUUUUGACGCUUAUUUUUAUCGUUAAUUCAUUAAAUUAUAUUAAUUAAGCAUAAACAAAUAAUAAUCAAAUAAUACAUCUAAUUAUUUCAAAACAAGUUACAAAGGUUGGCCUAGACUAUCACAUUAUCAUUAAUGUCUAGCCUAGAAGACUAUCACAUUAUCAUUAAUGUCUAGCCUAGAAUUUGAAACUGGUUAUGCUAAAACCUGAACAUAAAAUAAGCACACAUUGCAGUCAAUUAAUAUCAAUACAAGGUUCAGCCCUCAUUCGAAAAUUAUUAGGGUAAUUGUAAAAAGCAUAAAACCGAUUCAGAUGAAGAGCGUUAUCAAUACGCAAUGUUUUGUAAACGAAACGGGAAACGGAGCGGAUGGUAGAUAAAUUAAGAUGAAAUUGGAAAUAAUUACUUCUUAAAACAAUAGAAACUUGAAUUUCGGUAGAGAACCCGAAGCGAUAUAUAAUAAUACGAAAGGAUACAACAACGAGACUAUGAACUUGAAAUCAAUACGAAGUGAGUAAUACCUCAGAAGAAAAGCAGGGCCACCGCCAUUGAUUGUAUUGAAAAGUGGAUUGAAAUGGAAGGUUGCCGCCGGGAGAUGCGAACGGCGGCAAUUGGGAGACACUAAAAAGAAGUCAUGAUUGGCUGCUUUGCGAGGCUACCGGAAAAAUCAAGAUUCGCUCCAGUUAUUAAAUCGCCUCGUAGGUUUUAGGUGCAAAUCUAUCGUGUGCCAUUUUUCAAUGUCGAUUGUCGACUAUCUAUAUAUAUGUACGAUAUAUUAUAUAUAAGUCAAAACAAUGUACACCAAGACAUUUUCUUCUUGAAUAGACAUAUGACAUAAACGGCCCUCAAUGUUUGAUUUUAAAUAUAUAAAUCGCCCUAAGUCUUUGUUAAUUGCAGUUUCAUAUUUCAUAAACUAAAAAGUAAAAACAUUAGUUACCAAAAGGCUAAACUAUUAGUUAUGAGCUUCUUGCAACAAUGGAGCAAUUUCAGGUAGAAAAUCGAAAAAGUACAUCAAUUUCUGAAAAAUGAUUACCGAGAACAAAGGACUAGUCGGAGCUAAUUGGCAUUCGGUUGCAGUUGCAAGAAAUAUCCAUCCUUUUAUAUCCUUUUUACGGAUGCGUGUUCACAGGCUAGACCAUUCAAUUCAUU